rnacentral:lncRNA from 1 species
UGUUCUCUUAGUGGAUAGUCAAUUAAUAUGUUGUAUCUUUUGAGAAAGAAAUUAGUAUCAAGUAAUUAUCACAACAAAAAGUUAAAUAUUUAGGCAAAUAAGAGUUCGGUUGUUUCGAUAUUUGUGACAUAAAUUUUUUUCUUGAUAUAAUAUGAUACUUAAUAGUCAUCUUAUACAAAAAUUUUAUAUAGAUACUAUUUAACAUAAAGUUUCAUAUUAAUUGUUCAUACUGUAAAUUUUUUAUAAUUAUUUUCCUAGUUGAAUAUGAAUCAAGGUUACUUGAAUACCUCAUUAUUUGGACAUUAUUAAAAAAUGUAGUUACUUAUGAUGAUUUAGGCUAUUCCACAUUAAUGUCAAUUCACUUAUUACUGUUUUUCCUAGUUGAAUAUGAAUCAAGGUAACUUGAAUACCAUACUAUUUGGACAUUGUUAAAAAUUUUAAUUACUUUUAAUGAUUUAGGUUACUUUACAUUGAUGUCAUUCACUGACCAUUAUUCUUUGUACUAUCUACUUAUUGACUUUUUGUAAGAAAAUACAUAUUGUUUGUUUGAAAAAAAAAAUGAAUAGUUUUAAAUUUGACCAUAUCAUGAUGCAUCAUACUUGUAGUACUUUUACAUGAUAAUAUUAAUGUAUUUAUAUCAUAACUAUAAUUUGAUAGGCUAAAAACCUCCCUAACAUUUUACCAUUAAUGAUAUACAAUACACAUGUGGUAAAUAUAAAAAUUCAAUACAUAAAUCUGCAACUACAUAUUUAUAAUGUAUUACACCAACUCAAUUUUGUUAAAAUAUGAUUAACAUCUUCAUCCACUAGAUGCACUCUUUUUUGAAUAAGUUCUUCUACUUCUUCAUACUUGCUACUAUCCCCAGAUUCUUUAAGGGGUGAUUAUUUAAAGAAAUGACAAUCAUGUUUACUAUCGACAUAAUGACAACAAAAAUAUAACCUGUUCAAGUUAUCAUUUCACUCUAAAAUCCUAACAAUUGCCCUUUGUAUAAGUACAAAUCUGCACAUACAAUCACAACAUACUAGAUAUUUACCUCAUCUUCCAUUACUUCUAAUAUUCCUAAAUGACAAUACUUGAAGAUGUCAUGAUAUCUACAUUAUUGAAUACCCAAAAUUAAUUUAUUAAAUUUAAGAAAUUUGGAUUAAAAUAACACCAUGAAAUUACUCAUCAAGAUAAAAUAUUUAGUCACCUACCAUGACCUAUAUUAUUAUAUAUAUAAAAAAAAGGAUGAUAAUCAUAAUAAAUUGAAAAUGUCUUAUGUUGUAAAGAAAUGUAUUUAUUGUGCAUAAGACAUGCUAGGGAGUAUAGCAUAAUAAUCCUCAAUUGUGAAUUCAUAAAAGAAUUAAAUAAUUUCUAAAUUAGGUUAUAUUAUAAUAUACCAUAACAUUCGUAUAUUUAUAUAGUAAAUAUAGUGCAUUGUGCUAUACUUAUAUUUUAUAAUGAAGGUAAUAAUUUUAGAGAUAUCCAUUAAUACUGUAUUGUCGUUUGGUAUUAAUAGAUUAGAUCGAUAUAUGAGUAUCAUUCACUUAAUGCUUUGAAAUUAUUUAAUAAUUUUUAUAAAAAAAAAUAUUGAAAAACCUUGUGAAUUGAGAUCGAUAUUUUAUUUGGUUUUAAGAUUGGUUAAUAAUAGAAUACAUGCUAAGGUAUAUAGUAUAAUCACACAAAAUUGUAAGUCCUAUAAAAUGAUUCAAAACCUUUUAUAUGAGGUCUUGUCGUAAUAUUUUGUAACAUUGGUAUAUUUAUAUUGUAGUAUAGUGUAUUUGUGUUGUACUUAUAAUUUAAAACAAAAUUAAUAGGCUUAAAGAUAUUUUUUUAUACUUUAUUGGCAUCUAAUAUAUCAUAUGAGCGUAUUAACAUCUAAUAUAUCUUUUGGGUCCUUAGCAUCUACAACCAACCUUAUUUGGUAAUUUUUUUAAAUUCUAUAUAAAAAAUAUAAAUAUAUCUUUAUCUUUAAAAAUCACUAUAAAAUUUUAAAAUUUGAGGCAUUAAUUUUUUUUUUGAUACUUUAAUUCUCUUAAAAAGUUUUUAAAACCAUUUACUAUUUUAUAAUUUUAAAAACAAAAAAUAAAAAGUGUAUCCAAAUGAACACCUAAUUUGCCAUGACAAAUAUCAAAUAAAAAUAAAAGUAUAAAUUAUUUUAUAAAUUAAAUACUUUCAACAUCUUAUGUUUGUGAUAAAAAAAAUACAAAAGCAUAGUAUAAUACAAACUAAUGACUUCAAACUCAUGGUUUGUUUCCUCUUCUUUCUCCUUUUCCUUUGGAAUAAAAAUUGAAGAUCAAUUUUACGAGUUCACAUUGAAUUAUUUAAUUCUUAAUUUAUUUGAUGAUUUUUUAUUUGUUAAUUGUUUUAGGAAUAAAAAGUAAAUAUUUAAAAUAAAAUAAUUUAUAAAAGAUUGGUGCUACAUAUAUGUCAUAUUUUUACCAUAAUUUUUAUCAGAAUUUUACUAUCUUGUAAUUAUAAAUAAAUAAAAAUUAGAUAUAAUAAAAAAAUAUUUAUUUAUUAAUUAAAAAUAAUUUUCCACAUCCAAUCAUCACUUAUCUCCUUAUUAGGUGAUAAAAAUAACAGUACAAGUGAUGAGUCACAUGGUCUGACCAAUGUUUUUCUUCAUUAAAUUAUUUAAUCAAAAUAAUCAAAAUAAUUUAAUAAAUUAGUUUUAAUUUAAACAUUUUUUGGACACUCAACUAUACCAUUUUAAUGAUAUAUUUUAUUUUAUUUAUUUUUAAAUUAUUCAUAUAGUAUGGUUUGAGUAGAAAAUUUGAAAUUUGAAUAGAAUAGGGAGAUUAUAAGUCAAAGGCCAUUGAGUGCAGUGUAGAGGAGUGGAGGUGUAAGUGAUGUAAGGGCCAAGCUUGAAGUCAUUGAAAGUCUUUCCAGCUAUAUUUCUAUUUUUGGUAAGUUUGUGUGAGUGUUGAAGAAGUGUAUUUUAAGCCAUAAUGAUAUCAUUACCUUUUCUUUUUAAUAAAAAUAUAAGUUUUUUUUUUUUUGCCCUAGGCUUUCCUCAAUCAUGUCACUUGCUACUCAUGAUAUAUAGGAUGAAGUAAUUAAAAGUGGAGUUUAGUUUGAUCCUUUAUUAUAUAUAAGCUAAAUAUUGUAUUUUAAGAAAUUUUUUAUCAAGUUAGAAUAAUGAUUUUUUUUUUUUUGGUUAGAUUUGAGGAAUUUUUAUUACAAGUGAGACAUAAAUUUCCCAAUUUAUUUAAAUUCAUCAUUAUUUAUCUUCUUCACGAGAAACAUAGUCUUAAAAGAAGACUUUGUUUUUAUUUUAAUAAUAAUAAUAAUAAUAAUAAUUCUUACCCAUAGAAGAUAUAGAUUUUCAAUCAAUCUACUAAAUUUUGUUACCCUAGGCCAAUAGCAAGCAUUGUACUCAAAAUUAUGUUAUGUUAAUUGGUGUCCUUAAUCUAUAUGCUAAUUGGAUCGGUGACCUACUAUCCGUUAUCAAGAUUAUCUUUCAAAUCCUUGAGUUAUAGAUCCUAUUUAUUAUUUGAUUAAUUGACAUAUUUUAACUCCAAUGAGCAUAUGUCAAACUAAGUUCUUAAAAUAAAUUCAAAUCAAAUUCAAUGUUCAAAUAUGGAUUUAAAGAGAUCGAAUUUUAACAUAAAAGAAUAUCUUAUUUUGAAAUCAAUGGUCUUGUCAAGAUAAACUCACAUCUAAAGAUCGAUCUUAAUCUAACUACAAAAUCAAAUUUCAAAUACAACAAAUCAGGUUGAUUAUGUUUUGUUCUUAUUCUUAGAAUUUAGUCCUUAUUUAUCUUCAAGUUUAGCCUUAAUUUUGCUUACAAAUGAUCAAAAUGAAUUAUCAAUGAAUUAAAUCACAGAGAUAAGCAUUCACCAAACCAAUUCUAGUAUCAAUUGUUCUAGAUUAAGGGAUAUCUUAUAGAGGGUUUAUAUAGUAGAUAUGAUUACCAAAAACAUAGUAUAAAGGAAAUUAAAUAAAUAAGGACUCUUCUUUCUUGAAGAUUUAUGCCUUCUUGAUCUUUUUUUUGCAAAAGGAAGUAUUUAGCCACAUAUAAUGACAAUUUCACAUAAUUUCUCUAUAUUUGAUCAUCAAGAAAAUGAAAGAAAACUAUAAAUAAAAUGGAGGAAAAGAGAAAAUUUUGAAUUGCAACUCAAAUUCAAAAAGUGGAGAGAAAUCCUAAGGUUUUUCUAUCAUCUAAUUAACUCCUACUUAUAGAAGAAUAUUAGGACAAUCGACAAUCCCAUAAACUACCCAAAAAUGCCUCUUAAGCAUUCGAAUAUUCUAGAAAAGCAAUAGAACUCUCAAGUACAGGUUCAACGUACAAAAAUUGUUUAAAUCAAUUUUCAAAAGGCUAUUACAGCAAAAUUUGUCAUACCAUUCACUACUUCAGUAUUAGAAAAGCUACCCUGUACCUAAAUCACUUUUGAUCUUGAAAUUGUUGCCUUUAGGAAUCAAUUUGAAACUUAUUCCAACUACUUCAAGUAGUAUCUCCCAGUGCAGUUCACUUUCAUCAUCUUCAAAAUAAUUUUUAAUCAAUUUUUUAUAUUUGAAAUCAAUUUAACUACCUUGCGGAGUAACAUGAAAGCAAUUCCAAAACUGAUUUUAUAGUCAAAUCGAUUUACAAAUUAGUUUAGUGUUACUUCAAAACCUAUGCUUCAUCCUCUUCUCACUUGCUUCCAUUGACCUUUUUGUCUCAUUAAAUUCUUUUAAAUUUAAGGAUUAAAAUUUGUCAUCUUCAUUGCAUCUUACACUCACAUGCACAUUAGUCCAUCAUAUCGGCACUUAGCAUCGCUUUGAGCUAUAGUUGAAGUAAUUAAACACUACAUAUAGAGCAUAAAACUCAAUCUUUUAGUGCUCAAUUUUUUUGAAUGAAUCAAACCCCUCUUGUUAGAUACAAAGUUGAACUUGACAAACUAAACCUUGAGAGCUCCAUUUAUAUAUGUUUAUGAACAACCUAAAAAAAUGCAACGAAAUGGAUAUUAAACUCACUUGAAAACUGAAUUGAAUAUUAAAAACUCAAAACCAAAUUUAGAAAUAAAUUUUAUGCAAAAGUAAAAAUGUGUAAAGAAUUAACUCUAAAAAAGAUAAAUACAAAAGAAAACCUAAGUAAAUGUACUAAAAAUUAGAUUUAGUUAUAAAUAAAAAGGAAAUAAAGGAAAAAUACCCACUAUCCUUUUAUCUUUUUUCCUAAGAAUACUAAACAUUCCAUGGAUGUGAGAUUUUCUCAAUUUUUAGGGGAACUCAUAUUCAAGAAAAUUAAGAUUUCUUUAAGUUAUGCUUGUCCAAAUAUUACAAUCUUAUACUUCAACAUAAGAAACUAUUUUUUAAAUUAAGAUACUUGUGACCCUAAAUUAAGGAUUUUGCUCCAUGCAAAUUCACCACCAAAAAGUUAUCUAUCACACUUUUCCAUGAUUUUCAAAUAUGCUUGUUAUACUAGCACAUAGGUAAACUUAUUAUUGUUUUGCCUACCAUUUUAAGUGAAUGCCUAAGGUCCUUGUAUGCUAUCCAUGGGAUAUGGAAGAAGUUCUCUUACGCUUCUUAGAAAGUAGUCUCAAAACUUUUCUAAACAUCUGUAUGAAACAAGUAGUUUUAAAGUAUACUAGAAGAUAAAUGUAUCAAAUAUUAAAGGAAAUAUCAUAUAUUUUUAUCACAAUAAGCUUUAAGGUGAUGAUAUUACCUUCACUUGUUUGCUCUACUUGAUGUAUUGUCACUCAUUAAAAAAGAUGUCUUCAAUGACAAUCUCCUUCUUUCUCCAAGAGAAUGGUCACUAAGAUGUUUCUAUUACUUUGAAGUGUAGAGUUCUCCUAUAACAUUUCCUUCAAGGGUGCUUAAUAGUGAGAUAUUCAAAUGUUUCAUGUCUGUUUGAGUUGAGAACAUACUUAAGGAGUACCACCUACGUUUAAUACACUUCAAGGUGAGUUUUGUCUUCCGUGUUCCAUGCAUAGUUUGAGGAUCUUACUUUGAUGCUAGAGUAAUAGGUAUGUUAAGAAGAAAUAGUUUAAAUAAUGGCGACCUUGAUUGGACCAAAUUAAAAUCUAAGACAAGGACCUUGAUUGAUCAUAGGACAUAUGUUAUUUUCACCACAUUUUCCUCAAAAGAACCUUUAUGAGGCUUGUAACCCAACUAGAACAUAGUAAGGGGGAAAAAAAACCUUAGAAGGUUUGAUAAUUAAUCAUUAGUAACCCUUAAGUCUUAAACCACCAUAAAAAAUUCUAAGAAUUUUUAGGGUACGUACCUCCAUUUAAGAAACCUCUUUUAAGAUACUAUUUAUAUACCUACCAACUUUUGAUUAGUUUGCCUCUCUUGCCUCCUAAAUUUAGGCACCUCACCAUUUACUUAUCUACUAUAACCUUACCUAGACAUGGACCAAGAGGUAUAAACCUAACUCUGCUCUGUUUCCUAUAAUAUCAUGAGAAUGCCAUUCUAAAAGUAAAAAAGAAAGCUUCAUCACUCUUAUCAUAACCACAAAAACUAAGAAUGUUCCUACACUUUCUCUUUCCCUCAUUUUAUUCUCAUCAUAAGUAAAAAUAAAUUCACCUUUUGAUUUAAAGGCUAACUACACAAAAAGGGAAGACUCACUAGGUGUAUAAACCCAAGUACUUCUCUUUGAUAUCCUAUUUUAAUCAGCAAAGCAUUCUAACAUAGAAAAAAAAAACAUUAGAUCUAAUAUUCUUAUACCAUAGAAAGUAAUUAAAAAGCAAGUAAACAAUGUAGGCAUACAAGGACACAUAAAGAUAUUUUAUCAUUUUGUUAUUUUUUUUUAGCUAGGAACACACUUUACACAAGGUGUACAUGAGCAUGCACCAAAUUAAAUUAUUAUGUUUUGUUAGUGAAAAAAAUGAUUAAGAUUCACUUUUGGAAGAAUUCUACUUAGUACCAUGAGUGCCAAGAAAAUCACUUAUUUCCACUGUUGCAUCUAUUUAUUUUUCAAUUGUUAUAUCAAAUUUUUUGGUUAACAAAUCACUCAAAUAAAAAACGAAAAAAGAAAAAAAAAAAGUUAGUACUCUUUUGAAUGGAUUUUUUGUUUUUUUGUUUUCAAAAAUAAAAAUCAAUAGUAACCCUUAUAAAAUAUGAGAACUCUUUGAAACUUACUUUAAAAAGACAAUGAUUUAAAAUUUUGAGGUAUUAAAUAAUUUUAAAAACAAAUAUUCAAAUGAAUAUUUAGAUAAAAACUUUUUAAGAAUGUCAUAGCAUUGAUAUUUAUAUAAAAUAACUAUAUAUGUAAAAUAUGGUCGAUCUCAAUCCUUUUUUCUAAUGUGACAUGAUUUAAUAUCAAGCUUAAGAUGUUAGGAAAUAUCUCUAAUGUAUAUGAAACUUAUUUAAGAUAGAGCUUCAAUACCACUUAUCUCAUGUAUUCCUCCCUUGCAUGUGAGUUUAAAUAUAAAUGAAGAAAAUAAAUAAGCAGUCAAAUCCAAACUCAUGAACUCUCGAGUUAAAAAUGGGGGUCUAAUUAAAAUUUCGAUAAAUAAAUGUUUGAUAAAUUAAUAAUCUCAUUUAAAUAAUAAAAUCUUCUUGCCCUAACUCAGUAUAGUGUGUAUUAAAUUAAUAACCUCUUGGUUCUAAAAGUAUUUUACAAGAGUUUCACUAUAGUGUCAUUUAUUUAUCCAAAAGUUCAUGUUUUUGGGUAUUAGGAAAAUGGAACUUAACCGGAAAUAAAGCUAAUAGGAACUUAACCUUAAACAAGGUCAAUGGGGACUCGACAAAGAUCACCACCAAAAACAAGGCUAAUAGGAACUUGAUUAGGAACAGGGUCAACAAGAGUUUGGCAAAGAACACGGCCAACAAGAAUUUCACCAUAAGCAAGGUGAGAAACAUGACCUAGAAUAAGACCAUUGAGAACUUGAACUCCAAUUCCAAAUAGGUAAGGGGUAUUGGGAACUGGAAUGGUUGCCUAACAUUCACAAACGAGUUAGGUUUGCAAAUUUCGCCUUCCAGGAAUGACUUUAGCUAAUAAAGAAGUUCUGAAAAUGCUUAGGAAACCACCUUUGAUCAUGUGGAUUGAAAUUAUAUAUUAUACACCCUUAAUCAACUUAUUAGGCAGACCAAAUCAUGGUUAACGGUCAUAAUUCAAUGUUCUCGAUUGUUGUACAGUAAUGGAGAGGGCAUGACAUGAGACCAGCCCAUUAAUCCAUACCAUUUGGCCAAGUGCUUGGGCUCCUUUACUUUCCAAUACUUGCAUUUUCCCUUUCUUUUUUGGGUCCUUGGCCUUUCACUUUCGUUCAGUAGACAGAUUUGUAUCUACAUUUCAAGGCUAAAAUAUUACCAACUUCCUCUUUGUGGGCAAUAAUUUACUUUUGGCAUCCCCCCCUAAAGAUGUACUUUGAAUAAACAAAACGGAAACAUGGAGAUUUCCUGCUCAUGAAAAUGUCACAGAAUUUGUAAUUUUGUUGGUUUCUUUGUGGUCCUUUGACUGUCCAAUAAGAUGCUGUCUUCUUGGAUGCUUGCAGAAGGGCCUUUGAGAAUAACUUCAGAUAUAUUUUAUAUUUCCUCCCACACUCUUGCCAUUAUCAAUGCCCUCAUUCUUCAUUAUUUUAAUAAUGAGCACAAUUAUCUCAAUCAUGCUCUAUUAUAAUCAUAUAGUACAACUAAACAUGUAGUAAAAGGCCCUUGAACUAUGGGGAAAAUAAAAGGGAAAGUAUGGCAUUUUUUGAGGGCAAGAUUCUUUGUGAGACCCUAGGAACGAUUUCUCUUGCUCUAUGGUUUCCUCAGACUUUUUCAACUGUUCACAUUGUCUAACCUAAUGUUGAGUUUGUUUUUGCUUUUGUUUUUGUGUUUUUCUUGUUUUUAUUUUUGUUUUUGUUUUCUUUUUUAAAGGCUAGACACUUUGUUCAGGACAGUCCUCUCUAUAUAUCUUAAUGAUUUGUGGUUAAAUUUUGCAGCAAGUACAUCAUCCAUCACAAAGCUUUCCACUUGCCUAUUUUUUGGUUCAUGAUUUAAAAUAUGAACUCCAUGGGGAGGGAUGCAAGCAUAUUUUGAGCUGUUUCUUAAAUAAAUAGGUAGAUUAGGUUCUACUUUUAUUUUUCAAAUUUUUUUUAGUCCAAAAUUUAAAAACAAUUUUAAAAAUUAUAUUUUGUGUCAUAUUUUAUAUUUUGUUUUAAAAUUUCAGAUCACCUGCAUGUUAUUCUUCUUCUAAAAUAGAAUUAUAUUUAGUAACAUAUUUUAUUUUCUUUUAAAUUUGAGAGAGAAAAAAAUAGAAAAAUUAAAGGUAUUAUCAAAUUUUAUUUUUUUUGAAAAAAAAAUAAGAAAUUACACUCAUGAGUCACCUGCAUCUUAUUCUUUUUUAUCAUACCAACAAUCUUAAUGUCUCACGAGUGAAUAUUUUAUUGAAAUAUUAUCGAAAGUCCCAAAGAAAAAAAGACCCAUAAAAAAUUUUCAAAAAAGUUUCUGUACUUGUUAUUUAAUUAUAAAAAAUAUUUCUUUUUUAUUUUUAAAAUAAAAAUAAAGUUUUAUUACUAAAAUCGUUUAUGCUUAUAAAAAGUAAAACCAUAAUUAAAAAUCAAUCUUAUUUUCUACUUUUGAAAUAUUAAAAACAAAAUUAUAUCCAAAUUAUACCCAAGUAGUGUAUAAGUACUUUCGAGUUUCAAUUAAGCCAUUAGGAGAAUACAAUCCUAAGAAUGUUAAGGGUGGGGUGGGGGGGCUUGUGGUUAUCCUAACAGCCAAGAGAUGCCCCUCGAAGCUAUCCUCUGAAUUUUGUGGAAUCCAUUUUGACCCAAGUUUGAGACUUGCUCUUUUGUUUUAAUUAGGCCAUGGGUGGCCCUCGUGUGUCAUGCAUUAAUGUUGUUGUGAAAUGAAUAUCCUCGUCAUGUUUCCCAAUGGGCCUUGAAGCCUAUUGAAUGAGCUUCACUUGGAACCAAUCCCAAUAAAACAAGCAAGCUGAAAGCCCAGAGAGAGGACUGAGAAGCAAGUAGAGCUUGGACCAACUUUGCUCAGCUAAGCAAAUAUUCUUCAGCUUCCCAAUGUGAGGAGCUAGCUAGCUGUACCACAAAAGGAACUAUGAAUUCAGGGCAGCAAUUCAAUUGCUUUCCUUUUUUUUUUAACUUGAACCUCGUUCUAAAACAGGCCCAUUACUUCUAUCAGCCUAUUAAAAGACAGACCAAGAACAUGUAAUUUUCGUUUGAUCAUAUAUAUUAAUUAAUUCAACCAGAUCAAAUUGUUCAUUUUGAUUUAUCUAAGCUGCCUAACAUGUCUCAUUUGAAUUGUGACACUUUAGCCAGCCAGCAUAAUCAUUCUGAAGUAUCAAGAUUUCAGGUUUUCUGAAUCCGUUGAGUUAUAAAGCCCUUGAAGAUGGAUUGAUGUCUUGUUCAAGUGCUGACAAUUUGGAUUUUUAAACUAACAUGAGUUAAUUCAAAAUUAAGUUGAAUCUAUUGGAUAAUGACCAAACAAUAUAUAUAUUAAUGUUUUAAGUUAUGAAUGGUAGCCGACUUUGCAUAUCAUGCCAAUUAAUACUAAGGAUAAGCCUUAAUCAACACAAAUUACUAUAUCAUUGGACUUGUGGGUGGAAUUGCUUGCAGAGAGAUUAGUCCUUGGAAUCCAAACCCUACAGCCACUGCAAUUAAUUCUAAUUAGGAAUAUAUUUCAAAAGGCGAAAAAAAUUAAUCACUAGCAUAAUAAGAGAACAAUUUGAAAAUUUUUCACAUUAACUAAUUAAGCUCCAAAUGCUCACACCAUUGUCCAUUGAUCAGUUUCUCAUCAGUUGUAACAAGACCUCACAAAUAUUUCUCAUCAACCAAACAAAUACUAUUCUGUCCAUGGAUCAAUUUCACUUGCCAGGAACAAAGUUUGUGGCAUAUGCCCAAGCAUUGUUGUUAACGGGGUCGGCAAGGUGGUCAGCCAAGUUCUCCAGUGGACCCUUUCCGGUGACAAUAGCCUGAACAAAGAAGCCAAACAUGGAAAACAUGGCCAGCCUCCCAUUCUUGAUCUCCUUCACCUUGAGCUCAGCAAAAGCCUCAGGGUCAUCAGCUAGCCCUAGUGGAUCAAAGCUUCCACCGGGGUAAAGGGGAUCGGUGACCUCCCCAAGUGGUCCUCCGGCAAUGCGGUAGCCCUCAACUGCGCCCAUCAGGAUCACCUGUGUGGCCCAAAUAGCCAAUAUGCUUUGUGCAUGCACCAAAUUAGGGUUUCCCAAGUAGUCCAGUCCACCCUCGCUGAAUAUCUGCGCACCAGCCUUGAACCACACUGCCUCCCCAAACUUGACCCCGUUGCGCGACAGAAGCUCCGGGAAGACGCAUCCGAGAGCUCCAAGCAUUGCCCACCUGCAGUGGAUGACCUCAAGCUCACGAUUCUUGGCGAAGGUCUCCGGAUCAGCUGAGAGGCCUGCAGUGUCCCAGCCAUAGUCACCAGGGAACUCACCAGUCAAGUAGGAUGGUGGCUCACCAGAGAAGGGCCCCAAGUACUUGACUCGGUCAGGGCCAUACCAGGGGCUUCCUGAAGAAACUGCUUUAGAUUUUGCCACAGAUUUUCUCAUUGUGACUCUUCCUUGAUCACCAGCAAGAAGCUCAGUGACAUUGGGUGCAAGCUUCACAGCUUGUCCAGCAAGGGAAGGAGAAGAGAGAGCCAUUGUUGAUGAAGUGGCCAUAGAUGUGUAGAGUGAAUAUUGGUUUUCUGAGUAGAGUUGAUGGUGUGGUGGUGUGGUGGUGUGAUUUAAUACCAUAUACUGAGGGGUCCAUAUUAUCCUUAUCACUAUCUUUAUCUCUUCUCCCAUUGGCGAAAAUGAAAGUUUUAAGGAUUUUCUUGGUGUUUGUUUGGAGUUGGCAUGCAUCAGCUUUCCUUCUCCUCCACCAAUUUCUUUGGAGAGUUGGUUUAUGCCUUAAUGGAUGUGGGGCAUUUCCAGCCUUUGCUUUAGAUUUCUUGGCCUCCGUGCACCUAAUCAAAGUUCCACACAUGUUGCUUUCAGAUGAGCUUUAGGAUGUGGACACUGGAGAGCCACGCAAAUUUCAAAAGUAAUAAAAUCUCAAUCUGAAGCAUGACAUGUGAUGAUGUAGAAUUUAUUAAGAGACAGUUAGUUGAGGUAGUGGAACUGUUGUUUUAAUGAAGAUAUUUUAUUAUCAAUAAAUAAAUAGAUAAUAAAAGCAACUAUUUUUCCGAGGUAAUUAAUUUUAUGCUAAUUGUAAACUAUCUUAAAAUUUUAAGACAUACAAUAUUUAACCUAUUUUAAAAAAUGUAAAUUUUAAGAUAAAAGUUACAUUGGACAAAGGUAGAUCUCUCUAUCUAUAUAUCAAUCCAUAUGUCUAUAUAUAUAUAUAUAUAUAUAUAUAUAUAUAUAUAUAUAUAUAUAUAUAUAUAUAUAUAUAUAUAUAAUAUAUUAAGGAUUGACAUGUGGUAUAGUGCAUGUUUCACCUUCUGAAAAGUGGUGGCCGUACCUCUACUUGUGACCUUCCUCUAUAACACAAGGAGAAAAUGAUUAGAGUGGGACAACCAAUUUAGCCAAUCCCUCUGUAAUGGUGAAGUUAGUUAUGGGUGGUUAGAGGGGUUAAUAGAAAGAUACUAAGAGAAUGAAUAAAGAUUUAGAAUGAUACCAAGUUGGCUCAAAUGAUCACUUAAUCCAAUAAGAAAGUGUAUAUAAACCCUUUAGAGGUACAAGGCCUAACUUUUGGCCAUUGUUUUCCCAAGUCUAGAAAAGAAAAUUUUAACCUCCCUUAAGAGAAAACCACAUUUUUCUUGUGCCAAAGAUCCAUAAAAAGAGUGAUCGGACGGAAAAUCUUUGGGUAUACAAAAUCUAUGACACCUAGGCUUUGACAUAUGAGUGAAACCUUAAAGUGGUUAUAUACUCCCUAUGAAUUGAGUCACUAUUGUGGAGGUUGUUGGCAACAGACAUUCUAAAUAGAAACAUCAUGAUAUCUCAUGGAAUUAAGACAUUGUUUCUUCUUAGGUGAUCCUAAGGACAUGCAAUUAAGAAACCUAUGAUCAUAGUAAUUUUGUAUAUACUCUUCGUAAACUAAAAUAUGUUAUUUGAUCACAAAAUAGGAGGAUCUAUAAUUCAAGAAUUUGAGAGUUAAUAUUAAGAUAAUGAUAGCAUAUACUUUGUUAGAUUAUAGAAACCAAUUCAUGGAGAGUCUGCAUGUAGUGGAUAGAAGGUUAGGGACCCAAGCUUUCUCUCGUUGUAAAAUUAUAGGAUACUAGAGUGCAAUUAACUCUUUAUAGUGUGAUGUUAAGUCAACUUCAAAAUUGGAUUUUGAGCGGGCCAAAAUUUUCCUAUAGGUCUCAAUGGUUCUUAUUUGAGCUUCUAAUUCAUCACUACACGUUUCUUUCAUGGAAUUAUGUUUUGUAAUUUGUUAGUAUGUAUAAAGGCAUCGGGGUAAAAUACAAUAUUACAUUAGAUCUUAUAAAUGGUCUUUUCAUAUUAGUUUAAUUAAUUAAUUAGAGCCUAAUAAGGAUAAUUAAUUAAUUAGAACAAGUAGGUUAGAUUAAAUGAACAAGCCCAAAUUGGGCUCAAGUCAUUUAAGCUCAUAAGAAAGCCUUCUAAACCCUCUUAGGGCUUAAAUAUUGGUCAUUAUUUCCCAAAUUCCAUAAAAGAAAACCCUAACCUUCCUGUAGAGAAAUGCCAACCUUCUCUUGUGUCAAAGAUCCAUGAAAUGAGUGAUCAAUCAGAAAAUCUUUGGGUAGACGAGAUUUAUGAUGCCUAUAAUAUGUUUCAUCUUAUUAGAAUCGAUUUGGGAACAUUAAUUUAGAUCGCAAGUAUGAUGCUUUUCUCUUUAAAUCUAUGUUAUUAUGGUUUUAAUUGUCAUGUUCUUCCACUGUGUUUAGAUUUGAAGAAGUUUAGGAAUAGUUAGCAUGCAUCCUACAAGAUCCAAGACCAAAGAAUGGAGUACUUCAAGUUUCCCUAUAGCUAGUUGACCACAAGUGCUUCACUAAUACACUUAGGACUAUGUUUCAGAUGGGGGUCAUUGAGGGGCCACUAUAUAAAUUUUCAUAUUCUUACAUAGCUACCUCUUCCCCCUCUAAGAUUUGAAAUGUUUUCCUCUUACUUUCAUAGGGGGUUCUAAUAAAAGAAAUAAAAACCCUAAUCCCAAAUUUGUCAAAGGCUCUUAGGAUCCCUAUGACACCACCUCAUAAGAGGGUGGUCGUAGGAGAGAAGUUUACCCAGUUCAAGACGAAAAAACCUGAGAAGGCAAAGUUGUCCCCCUCUCUCAUUAUAGAAGCUAUGUUCCCUAGCAGCUUCUCUCAACACAUAUCAAGCCUUUCUUCCACAACAUAUGCCAUCUCAAAUAACUCAUAAGGCAGGCAUCUUCCCCCCAAAUGAUUGAUUUUUCCAUUAAGUGGGACCUCACUAUGUGAAGCUCUCUAGGCAUAAGCCUACAACAUGAUAUUCUAAAGGAAGAGUGUCAUAAGAAGAGUUUCAAGCAUUGAAUAAGAUCAUCUCACCUUUGGACUCUCAACACCUUGAGUUUACAAUUGACGUGGUAUGAGGAUUUUUCUACUCACUUUUCUUCGUUUGCUGUUUUUUUCUAGUUUCUAACUAUUUUCCUUACAUGAUUACCUCUAAUUUUGUUUAUUCAAGUUUUCUAGUAAGUACCAUGAGCUAUUGAUGAAUCAAGUGAAGGAGGUGAAGUACCUAUGAUUGUCUUUCAAUAGAAAGGUCGUAGUCUAGGCCCAAGUUGAGGACCUGAUCUUAGCCUUGGAUAUAUAGUUGACCAAGAAAUUCAAGGAAUUGAGGAAAAAGGAGAAGGUGAUUGCAUUUCAAACAUCAAUUUCUAUAUUGUAUAUGAAAAACAAAGCCCUUUGAACCAAAGAACAUCUUUCUUGACUUCCAUAUUAAGCUUUUUUUUUAAGUUACAUGUUCUUUGAAUAAAUUAACCAAACUAGCAUGAAGCUCUUAUUGAGUUACAAAAAUGUUUUUGACUUCUUAAUAGUCAAUUCAAAUAAUAUCUACAUAAGAAAAUUGUUACAAGUUAAAAUGACUUAUCAAUUUGCUUCAACAAUAUACUUGAUAAAGUAAUUUUUUCGUAAAAAAUAAUAAUAAUAAGGAGAAUUUGAGUGGCAUGUCUAUUUAACAAAUCGAAUUGCAAAGUUUCCAAUUUGAGUAGUAUUGCUCAAUUAUGAUAUUUAAAGUCAUUGGAUGUACAAAGCUAAUACUAGAUUUUUGGGAUAUGACCAAGUUACUAUAAAGAUCAUAACUCAUAUGAGUCUUAGUUUAACAAAAAAAUUAUAUCACAUGUCAAAGAAUGGCAUUUGUUGAAUAACCAAUUUAAUAAAUAUAUCAUUUUUUGAAUGCAAUUGUACUUGGGUUGAGGAAGAAAACAUUAACAGGCUUAAAACCUCACAUUAUUUUUGCAUCAUUAAUUUGAUCCAAGCUCAAAUCCAUACAUAAAACUCAAAUUGUCUAAGGUGGUGUUUGUUUUUUGGCUUAAUAGAAAAAGUCAAAAUAUUUGGUUUUUUCUAUUCAGCUAAAAGUAACAUGUUGACAUCAUCCAACAUAACUAAACUGAACCUAUUGAUAACAAGUUCAUUUUAGCUAUAUUGGAUGAUGUCAACAACUUACUUUUAGCUUAAUAGAAAAAGCCAAAUAUUUUGGCUUUUUCUAUUCAGUCAAAAAACAAACACCACCUAAGUCUAAACUGAAAAAUCAUUGUCCGAUAGGGUAACACCCAAAGGAGGUGAGUGGGUGAAUUUAAAAUAUAUAUAUCAGAGCCAUCGGGAAGGGAAGUUGGGUCUUGUUUUGGGUGUUUUUGGCCUAUCCUAGGAUAGGUAGCAGUGUGCCUAGGAGAGCGAGCCCUGCCGAUUGAGUCGUUGUUAGUCGUGGAUAGGCGUUUGUUAAGCUGUAAGAGGGUUGGGGUGACGUCUCAUAAGGUUUGUCAAUCUGCUAUUAGGCUCUAGAUCAAAACCCUAAAAUGAGUUCAAUUUUCAGAACCAUGUCUAGGAGAUCCAGUGAUUCUCAAGAUACUGUUGUAAACAGUGAAGAGAUCAAUUAUCCUAAGAUCCAAAAUGAUUUAGAUGAUUGGAAGUUACCCAAGGUGUCUAAUCAAGAAAUUUAUAAGAAAGGAACCUUUAAGUUCUUCACAAAUUAUACCAUUAAGACCUCUGAAAUGUUAGUCAGCUUAGAACAAGACGACCAAGUCAUAAGACUUCUAGAUAACAGAUCCAUUGAAAAGCAUAAGAAAGAUGACUAUAAUUUCAUACACUUUGGUAUGAUUCAAGUAGCUGCUAAGCCUUUGACAAGAUUAGGUUUAAACACCUCUAUUGUCAUGUGUUUAAGGGAUAAUAGGCAUCUCGAAUAUCGAGAUUCUAUUAUAGGCGCAGUCCAAGCUGGACUGAAUGAUGGCCCAGUUUAUUUCCAGUGUUAUCCUAACUUCACAGUUAGAAUAAGAGAUGCAGACAUCUUAGAUUCCGUUGUCCUGCAUAUUAAGACCCAUGGCUUUAAGAUCAAACCAGGAAACAAUCCUGUUUCAAUCAUAACCAGGUUUGCCUAUAAGAGCAUGAACACAAGCGUUGGAUCUGGGGCUCUUUGCACCAGUCCUAAAGGUGAGACCACUUACUUUCACUCAGAUAUGCUAGAUAAGUCAGAUUUCAUCAUCCCCAAGAAGAUCUUAUAGAAAGAUGUUGAGUUUCCUGAAAAUUGGCAUUUUGUUAAUGUUGUUCCAGCCAUUGCACAGCGUUCUGAAAGUAUUGAACAAAUUGUUCAAUAUCCUGAUGGAGGAGGAGAACUAGUUUUCUCCAACUCUUUCAGACAUUCUAGCAGCCCUAGAGUUUCAGUUUAUGAACCCUCUAGAGCUUCAAGCUCUUCCAUCCCAGUUAGAACCACUAGAGAAGAAGAAUACAGCUUAGGAAAUCCUAAGAAUAUUAAGCUAACAAGUGUUAAAAGGCACACCAACUUGAUUAGACCAUUUUACACAGAGGAAAAUGAGUCUACUCAGGAAUCCCAACAGGAUGAGUCUCCUGUUAUGUCUCCUACAUAUUCCCAGAUGAUUAACACUAUAAGCCUAAGUGAUAAGGACUUUGAGAUCAACAAGGAUCUCUUAAGAAAGGACUUUUAUUCUGAAGUCAAUAAGCAAAGAAAUGAUUGGUUCUUUAGCACUAUCCCUAAGGUCAUUAGAACCAUUUACCAAGAAGAAUUCUAUGCCUAUUUAAGACAAGAAAAGAAAAAUAUUAAGUUUUGGAUUUGGUUUGAACUCUUCAAACAAGAGGAAUAUUCAGAUUAUCCUUGUAAGCGUAUUAACAACACCUCUACAAAAGCUAAGAUAUGGAAAACCAGUGACAACAUUGUUAUAGAAUUCAUUCAUCCUCCUGAAGCUAAGAUAGAAAAGAAUAUUAAUGGAACCGUAGUCACAGCUUCACCUUUUAAGACUAAGCCAGAGGAUAAAGGAACUGCUAGUGCAACCGAUAUUAGAAGGAUUAUGGAACAAAUCAAUUAUACUAAUAUGUUUCUCAUAACCAUUGGAAAUCAAGUCAACAGAGUUGAGGAGAUUAUUGAAACUCAGGAUCACCUUAAGAAGCCUUUUGUUAAGAAUGAUAAUAAGCCUUUGUUUAAGCCUUUUGAAUUAUCUAAGAAAUUCCAGGAAAAUCCUCAAAUUGAUCAAGCUUUCAUUGAUAGAAUAAGCCAAAAUGUUAAAGAUAAUCUUGUUAUCCCUGAAACACCUCAAACUUUUGCUAUGCAUGAAACACCUCUACCUUCCCAUAAGAGAAUCAUUUUGGUUAAAAGGGAUAUUAGUCCAAAAGCAAAGGAUAAUGGACUAAUUAGGCUAACCAGAGAACCUUCUAUCCAAAACCCUUUUAAAGAUCAUAGUGAUAAACAAGAGAUUAUCCUUAAUACCCUGACUAUUAAAGAUCUUCAAAAAGAAAUAGGGCAGUAUAAAAAGGAUAUUAAGAACCUAAGACAACCUACAAGCUCAGAAUUCCCUAUCCCUCAUGAUUAUAUCAACAAGGUAGGUUUUUACCACAGUAGUCCUAAAAAGGAAGACUUUGAAGAAGUUCUUGAAUCUUCACAAGACAAUAGUGAUAAGAUAAAUGCAUACUUAAAUACUAUUAGUAAAGUUAUCUUCCAAAGGUGGGAAGUCUCCCUUACUAUAGUAAUUAAGAAUAAAUUUAUCCUUGAUAUUAUUGCUUUAAUUGAUUCAGGUGCAACUUUGAAUUGUCUUCAAGAAGGUCUUGUACCUACCCAAUUUUAUGAGAAAACCAGGCAAGCCCUUUUUGGUGCUAAUGGUAAAAAGCUUAUUAUCAAGUACAAGCUAUCGAAUGCCCAUAUGUGUAACCAAGGCAUUUGCAUUAAGCAAACCUUCAUUCUUGUUAAAGAUCUCAAGGAGAAAGCUCUCCUUGGAGUCCCUUUCUUAAGCUCCAUCUUUCCCAUGUGGGUAGAUGAUCAAGGUAUAAGAACUAAGCUUUUAGAUAAGGAAAUUCUGUUUGAAUUUGCCAAUCCACCUGAAAAAAGAAGUAUAAACACCAUAAAAGAUCAAGUGAUUAAGGCUAAGCAAAAUCAUAUUAAUCUCUUAAAGCAAGAGAUUGAUUUGGUUAGAAUAGAAGAUCAAUUGAAGGUUAAGAAAACUCAAGAUACCAUAGAAAAUUUUAAGAAUAAAAUUAUUAAGGAAGUGUGUUCUAACAUUCCUAAUGCUUUUUGGCACAGGAAGCAGCAUGAGGUAGAAUUACCUUAUGAGCCUGAUUUUAGUGAGAAAAAUAUUCCCACUAAAGCAAGACCAAUCCAAAUGAACAAGGAUUUGUUAAGCUAUUGUGAAAAAGAAAUCCAAGAUCUCAUAGAUAAGAAGUUGAUAAGGAAAUCUAAAUCCCCUUGGAGUUGUUCAGCCUUUUAUGUUCAGAAACAAGCUGAACUAGAAAAAGGAACACCUAGACUAGUCAUCAAUUAUAAGCCCCUCAAUGAUGUUUUAAGAUGGAUCAGGUAUCCUAUCCCAAAUAAAAAAUACCUCCUUCAAAGAUUAGUGAAGUCCAAAGGUUUCUCUAAGUUUGACAUGAAAUCAAGAUUUUGGCAAAUCCAGAUUGUGGAAAAAGAUAGGUACAAAAUAGCCUUUGUGGUCCCAUUUGGUCAUUAUGAGUGGAAUGUAAUGCCCUUUGGCCUUAAGAAUGCACCUUCUGAGUUUCAAAACAUAAUGAAUGAAAUCUUUAACCAGUUUUCUGAUUUCAUUAUUGUUUACAUUGAUGAUGUUUUGAUUUACUCAGAUUCUGUUGAGCAACAUUGGAAACAUCUCAAUAAGUUUGUUGAGACUGUUAAAAGCAAUGGUUUAAGCUUGUCAGCCACUAAGAUUAACCUCUUUCAAACUAAAGUAAGAUUCCUAGGUCAUCAUAUUCACCAAGGAACAUUCAUCCCCAUUCAAAGAUCAAUUGAGUUUGUUGAUAAGUUCCCUGAUGAGAUUAAGGAUAAAAAACAAUUGCAACGUUUCUUAGGAAGCCUUAAUUAUGUGUCAGAUUUCAUACAAGAUUUAAGCCAAUUAUGUGCCCCUUUAAGACAAAGACUUAAGAAAAAUCCAGUUCCUUGGAAUGAGGAUCAUACCAAGAUUGUUAAAAUAGUAAAGUCUAGAGUCAAAACCUUACCAUGUCUCGCCUUAGCUGAUCAUAAAGCCUUUAAGAUUGUUGAGACUGAUGCUUCUGACAUAGGUUUUGGUGGAAUUCUUAAGCAAAGAAGUAAUAAUCAAGAAUUGUUGGUUAGAUUCACUUCUGGAACUUAGAACCAUGCCCAACUCAACUACAACACCAUCAAAAAGGAAAUUUUAAGCAUCAUUUUAUGCAUUUCAAAAUUUCAAGACGAUCUUUUGAAUCAGGAAUUUUUAUUAAGAGUGGAUUGCAAAUCUGCAAAAUCAGUUUUACAAAAGGAUGUUAAAAAUAUAGCUUCUAAACAUAUUUUUGCUAGAUGGCAAGCUAUUUUAAGCAAUUUUGAUUUUCAAAUUGAGUAUAUUAAAGGAGAAAAUAACUCAAUCCCUGAUUUCCUAACUCGUGAAUUUUUGCAGGAUUCACAAGAUCAUGGCUCCCAAAACAGAAAAGCAAUCCUUUAAGAAAUCAUCAUCUUACAUGAAACCUCAUUCAGUCUUAUCAGAAAAAUUCAAACCUUUGUAUUAUGAUUUUGCUUCGAGAUCUCAGGAAUCUACUUCUGAUCCUAAUCCUCCAGUUCUUAAGCAUCCUUCUUCCCCUAUUGUGGAAGAAGGAAAUAUUUCUGGUUCUCUACCUUUGGUGGAAGAACUCAUCCCCUUAGACUUCUCUACUUUUGAUACUAACCCCUUAUCUAUUCAUAAGAGUAUUUGUGAUUUGUAGGCUAGGUGCAGGACCCUUGAAAAAAGGCUAGAAAUAGCUAAUUUUCCCAAAGAAGAUAUAAGCCAAGCCCCUUUUUCCCCAUUGGAAAUUGGUGAGAAAAAACCAUUCACCCCACUAGUGAAUGAGAAAUUAAGUAAGGAUGAGCAGGAGUGCAUUAUCUUUAGAAUGUUUCACCGAAGGAAUGAGAUCCUGUCCACUCUUAAGCCAGAUGAUAUUUAUCAGCUAAUUUGUGAAAAAGCCAAGUCCAGUGCAGAAGAAAAGCAAGUUUUUAUUUCGGCUUAUCUUCAGGAUCUGCACAUUUAUCUCUCAGCCAUUCCUGGUCUCAGUGUUCCAGGAUUAAAUUUAACUAAGGAAAUGGAAUUUGAUGGCUCAAAACUUUGCAGAAAUUGUAUUGAAUCGCUUCUUCAUCAACAUGACAACAAGCCAAUUUGCAACUGCAAUAGAAAUUUCACUAUCAGUAGAACUGCAAUUGUAUUGAGUCUGCAUUGAUCUAUAGUAUUACCAGCCAAUUAACCUUGCUUUCAAAUGAGAAGUUUUAAUCCUAACUCCUGAAAAGCUUCUUGAUUAUGGAUUGGUUUACCAACUUAUCUGUUCUGAUCCAAGUCAAGCUAGCAAUUUUGGCAGAAAGGUUAACCUAAGCUUAACCCAAGGUUUUAAGUUAAACAAGAAGUUUGUUGACGCCAUUUUUAUUAGCAAAGCUCCUGAAUGGAUUUCUAGAGGCAAAAUUCUUCCAGCCCAACACUAUGUUAAUCUUCAUUACCAGAAUAGAAGACCUACUCUUCUGUCCAGUCCCUUAGUUCAAACCGAUAUUUGUGCAGAGCCAAUUAUUAAGCAAAUCAAGCAUUGGAGAGCCAGAUUAAUCAGUAGAGACUUUGAAGCCUACCCAAAAAACAUGGGGCAUCUCAUUGCUGCGGAUUCCCUACAUCAGAUAUUUUGCAGUAAAAAGAUUGACCCUUUACCGUUCAAAUCCACUUUUCAAGAUACUCAGCUCCUAAUGGAUCACCGCUCGGAAUAUAUUCCUCCCUAAUUAAUUGAUCAGCAGUCAUUUCAGCCGAAAGCAAGAUUCCGGGUCAAAAGUCAAAAGUGCUACAGUUCCCUCUUACUGUUCACUUUUACUAUUCAAGCACGGGUCUACUGUUCAUUGUUACUAUUCAAGAUUCCUUUUGGCCUAUUUAAGGGGGCUCGGUCCUCAUUUGUAAGCACGCAUAAUUUUAGUUAUGUUUCUCUCCCAAGCUUAUGCUCUCCCUUCUCUCUUCUUUCUCUCUCAUCAUGUAAACCCUUCAAGCUUUCAAGCUUUCUCCAAGCUUUCCUAUCCUUGUCCAUUGUAAGAUAUUUCUCCUUAUGUAUAAUAUAAAUAUGUUUUGAUUACCUCCUAUAUGGAUGGUUUUUAAUUAAGUUUUGUUUUCAUUUCAUUUUAUGUUCUUAUACCUCCUACAUGGAUGGUUUUAAUUAAGCUUUGUUUUUAAUUUUAUGUUUUUAUUUUGUACCGCCUACAUGGUCGGUUUUAAGCUUAUCAUGAACUAACAAGUUUUUUGGUUCCUUCUCUUUAAAUUUCUUGUUGGAUAUCUUUUGUAUCAUCUAACCCUCUUCUUUGUUAUAUAUAUAUAUAUAUAUAUAUAUAUAUAUAUUAAAAAGGAAGUUGAAUUCUUAACUCAAUUUUAACUUGUUAGAUAUUAGGAAUAAUCAAAAUAAUAAAAUAAACAUGCAAAGGACACAAUAAUUUUUACAUGAAAAACCCUUACACUAACUAUACUGAUAAAAAACUACAGGGUCUAUGAUCUCAAAUCUAAAUCCACUACAUGUGACCAAGUCACACAUAUUUACCUGGUUGUUUUACGAUAAAAAAUUACUCUCUAAAACUUACAACUUGAUCCACGUCUUCAACGCAACAAUCUCCAAUUGUUCCAGUGAAUACAUCUCAAAUUCACUGAAGGGAUGUAGGUCUUCCAAGAACCCAAUAUUCAAUCUUUAAAUCUUUCUUGAGAGAUUGAGAAUGACAAGGCAAGUUAGGUUGAGUCUCUCUCAAUGUGUUCUCUAAAAAAACAUUUAGAUAGAGUAUAUAUUAAAUAAAAAAAAUAAAAUUAAAAAAUUAAAAACUAUUGGAAUUGGAAUCAAUUUAGAAAUCAUAUUUUACUAAAAAACAAUUUUGAAACUUAAGAGUUCGAAAAAGAUUUGGAAAGAUUUCAUAUUUUAAAUUUAAAAAAUAUUUGAAAUUUUUUUUCUAUUUAAAAUUCCUUUCCAAAUUAUUUUGAAAAGAUUUUUUUUUUAAUUCUCAAUUUAAAAUUCUUUCCAAAUAAUUAAAAAAGAUUUCAUAUUUUAAAUUAAAAAGAUUUGAAAAAAAAAUCUAUUUAAAAUUUCUUUCCAAAUUAUUUUUAUUAUUUAGAAAGAUUUUUCUUUUUAACUUCUUAAUUUAAAAUUGUUUUCAAAUAAUUAAAACAUUUUCACUCAAUUAAAAUUUCCAUUUUAACCGUACCUUACCGGCAAAAAGCUAACUUAUCUUUACUCAACCCUUUUAAACUUGCCUAUAACUUUCUAGUUGAAUGAACAAUAACAUUGAAUUUUCAAUAGAAAGUAAGUUACUAUUUAAAAAGUUUCUUAAGUAAAAAAAUAAUUAGAACAAAAUUGUCAACAUACAAUAUAAACUCAUUGUCCUAACACAAACCAACCCAAAGAUCAAUCCAAGUUGUUCAACCUAAGCCUAAUCUACGCCUAUUUUCUAAACUCAAAUUCAAGCCAAAUUAGGCUCGUAUUAAUAAAUUUAUGUUUGGACUAUUUGGGUUAAUAAGUACCACAUAAGUUUAACAUCCAUUUCUUAAAUAUUUUAUUAAUCAACCUAUAUUUAAUAAAUAAAAGUAAUAUUUAUUUAACUAAUUUUUGCAAGUCAAUAUGUGAAUAUGUAAAUUUAUAUUACUCAUCUAUUCAAUCAAUCCAACAAUUUCAACUAAAUAUAAUCAAUAAAAUGAAUCAAAAGUUAUAAUCAAUAAAUAUAUAAUCUAUUUUAGGUUAGGCUCGGGUUAAUAAUUUAAUCGCUUAAACUCAAUACAAAUUACAAAUUAAGUUGCUCAAACCCUUUAAAAUGAAACCUACAUGUCCAAGUUGUAGCUCUACUUUUCACAUCCUUUCAAUUUUUGUCUUCUCUACAAUUCAACCCCAAGUUCAACUUAAUAGUGAGCGGUAAAAGUAUCCAUUAGUUCAUUCUUGAGCUAUAUGUAGAAGUUUAAAAGUUAAUCCUAGGCAUUAAAAAAAUCAAUGACUAAAUAGAUUUUAAAAUAUCUAACUUUAGAGAUUCUUGAAACUAGGGUAUAUCAAAUUUUGGCAUGCAUUAAGUUGGGAGUCAGCCCUUAGAUGAGAUAAGAAAGGCAUUAGAAGCAAAUCUGGGCACGACUCCUUUGUCAUGCGAUGAAUGAAUGGAGAGAAGGUUCCUUCACAUGCAAAACUUCUCUAUAGUUGGACGGUUUCACUUUUCUCGUAUUAAUGGGAAGGGAAAGGAAAGUGUUAGGUAGAAAACAGAUAGGAGUUUCACAUGAAUUCAUGCGUGCGUCCACUUUCAUUUGAUCUUCAAUGCAUUCAAGAAGCCAACUCCAUUGAUAGCUGUAGAAAAUAUGAUCAAGAAUAUUAUUAUCAGCCAGAAAUGCAAUUUCAAAAUCAUUUUGGUGCAGAGAGAUAUAGCAAAUGCCAAAGUGUGUUGUUUCCCCAAGAUUGAAAAAAAUAUAGGAUUUGUUUGGAAACUUUUGGAAAACAAUUCUCAAAAAACAAUUUUUAAGAAUAAUUUUCAAAAAAUAUAUAUAUUUUCUAAAACAAAAAUUUGUUUAAAUUUUUGAAAUAUUAUUAACAUAUUUUCUAUAUAUCCAAAUAUUUCUUAAAACUAAUGGUUUUUAUAGUGUUUUAUUUUCAAUCAUUUUCUAUCAUCAUAUAAUUGUUUCUAAAAAAAACUCUUAAAAAUAAAAUGUUUUCUUAAAGAGCAUCCUAUUUUCUAAAUAAGUUCUAUCAAAAAAGUGCUUUUUUGUCCAAAAAAAUUACCAAAAACAUGUUUUCAAAUUUGGACAAUAGUUUUCAAACUAUUUUUAAAAACACUUCACUAACAAUUGCUCAUAAUAUCCUUCUUUUACCUUGCCAUAUCAUUUUUUGUUAAUGAUAUUUUUAGAUAUUUCUACAAUAUUUUGCAUCAUCUCAUACUCUCUUGCAACAACCCUUUCCAAGGAAGAAACUUUUGCAAAAUAUACUUGAUAUAUCUCCAAGAUUUUCAUAAUCAUUCUCUAUUGGAACAAAUGGGUUUAUAAAUAUGGAAAUCCAGAUCCUCCAUACACACAAACUAAUUCUUAUCAAGGCUAUGCAUUGUCUGACAGACCUAAGAGUGAUUUUCAACAAUAAAAACCUUUUCCUUUUUGGUUCCAUUUAAUUAAAGUAUCUUUGGGUAACUAUAUUAGAAGUACUUAAAAGUAGAGGGGCUAACAAAUGCAAUGGAGUUCUCAUGAGUGAUAUCUUCAUCAAGCAAUUUUCUCCUUCACUUUAGUAAGCUACUCCUCUCACAAUAAGGAAGCUCUAUUAUUGUUUGCUGCAGUGUGAGGUAUUUCUUUAGACAAUAACUUCCCCAAAAAGAAGGAAAAACUGGUACUAUAUUCAGUCAGCUUCAUUUCUUUAGUAAAAUGGCCUGUAUUAAUGUUUAAAUUUACAUGGAAUUGCAUUCCCAUGUUGAACCCAUCUUCCAAGUUGUUAAUACCCCAUUAGCUUCUCUAAGCUUGAAAACACAUGGGCAACGUUAGGGUUUUAGCUUUCUAUAUCACAAUAUGCUGCAUAGCAUUCAUUGUGUCCAAGGUCAUCAUUUCAUUUCUCCUCUACCAGAGAUGGAAGAGAAAGCACAGCAUUUUCCAGGACAGCAUAUCAGGUACGUGCUUAUUGAAUCUUGAUGGUCUUCUAGAACUGAAAACUUGCAAUAAAGUUUAAGCACAGGUGUUGGUAGCUAACAUCUUAAAAUAUGCCAAACCCCAGUUGGGAAGAUGGUGAUUUUCAGGUCAGAGUUGAUGCGAUGUCUGACAGAGGAUGUGUUUCUGAAGAAGACGAUGAAGCUGACGAAUAAGGAUAUACUGGGUUCAGGAGGGUAUGGGACGGUGUACAAGCUCACGGUGAAUGAGUCGAUUGCAUUUGCAGUAAAGAGAUUGAAUAGGGGGAGUGAGGAUAGAGACAAGGGGUUUGAGAGAGAGUUGAAAGCAAUGGGAGAUAUCAAGCAUAGGAAUAUUGUAACUCUUCAUGGCUACUUCAGAUCGCCUCAGUACAAUCUUCUUAUAUAUGAGCUAAUGCCAAAUGGAAGUUUAGAUGCAUUACUUCAUGGUCUGCACUUCCAUGCAUUUUUCUUCUAAUUCUUUAAUUCAUGAUUUUUAUUUUUCCUCAUCCCAAUUGUAAAAGGAUUCUACUUGUCCCAAAUGCAGGAAAAUCAAGCAACAAGAUGACUCUGGACUGGCAUUCGAGAUACAAAAUAGCAGUGGGUGCAGCACGGGGCAUAUCGUAUCUUCACCAUGACUGUAUCCCUCACAUAAUUCAUAGAGAUAUCAAAUCCAGCAAUAUACUGCUUGAUGAUAACAUGGAAGCUCGAGUUUCAGACUUUGGACUAGCCACAUUAAUGGAACCAGAUAGGACUCAUGUUUCCACAAUUGUGGCUGGGACCUUUGGGUAUUUGGCUCCAGGUUCCCUCUCUCCCUCUUCUUUUGUGUGUGUGUGUGUAUGUGCUUGUGUUCUACAUGUGUCUAAUAGUGGGGUGCUUUCCAGAGUAUUAUGAAACAGGUAGAGCAACAGCAAAAGGGGAUGUUUACAGCUUUGGGGUUGUUUUGCUUGAGCUCCUAACAGGUAAAAGACCGAUGGAUGAGACGUUCAUUGAGGAAGGGACUAAACUGGUGACCUGGGUAAGGUCCUACAGAACUCUCUACAAUUUUGUUUUUCUUUAGUGGUUGAAAGCAUUGGUUAAUUUACACUAAUCUGGCCCCGUCCGAGAAAUUAACAACACCAACAACAAAGUUUCCACCCUUGAAUUUUAGAAGACUCUUAACCAUUGUCACAAAGUACCCCUGUGUUUUCUCAAAGUUUGCUCAGAAGAAGAUCUAAUUAUCAAUGUUCUCAAGUCUUGCUUCUAUUCUUUGAAUUAUCUGGUUAUCCACCAUUCCUCUACACUAUCCAGUAUAUGACUUCCAACAUUUUUGUUGAAAGAUGGGCCUUGUAAAUGGUUUUCAGCAUAAUCUCAUGGCUAAAAAUCAUGUCCAGUGGAUUUGGUUUACAACAAGACAACCAUUUUGUCCACAAAUUUUCCUUACCCUCUCCUACUGUCUCUCAAUUAGGGUAAAAUCUUAGCAAUCUGAUCACCCUAGUUUCUGUUUGUAACCAACCUUGCAUUACACCCCACAAGUCUCAGAGGAAAAUCCAUUCACAAAAAGUGAAAAAAGGCCAAAAAGAAAGUGUAAGUGAUCGUACUUGAAACCGACACUUUCUAAAUAAGGCUUCUAGUCCACCCAAUACACAAGCAGCAGUCAGUUCAAUUAACACAUUCAUGAAAUCUAGCCUUACAGAUUCAAUGAAUUUGUUCCUUAUAUGCAUAAACCUGGAUCAUUGAUUAGCUGCCUUUCACCACCAACUAUUUGUAAAAACUCUGUUGAGAAGUUUGAGCCUACCAGAGCCAGAGUAUUAUCCUGCACUUCCCUACUUCCAUCAAAAGGAAACUUCUAAUGUUUCAACAAAAUGUGACAGGACCCAAAUAUUCUUGGUAGUCUGGCUUUGUGAAACCAACACACACUGUAGUACAAGAUCUUCCACCAUUACACUUCAUGCCAACCUACACUAGUACACUAGUUACUCUUAUCUGUAUAUAAGCAUAAAUGCAUGCACAAAUACAACAGAUUAGUUUUGGGUUUUGUGGUGUUCUCUUGAUCUUUUAGCCUUAGACUUCGUCCACAAACAAGAUUUGACAACAAUAAUGUGCAUACUGAAACAGGUGAAAGCAGUUGUUGAUGAGAAGAGGGAAGAGCAAGCAAUUGAUUGUAAUUUAGAUUCAUGUCCUGUGGAAGAAGUCAACCAAGUAUUCUAUGUUGCACUAACAUGCCUAGAAUCCGAGCCAUCAAAGCGACCAACCAUGGCUGAGGUUCUCAAGAUGCUUGAGGAGAUAAAAUCAAAUAAACAUGUUUCCUAAUGUAACACUUGCAUUGCAUCAUGCUUUUGACAACAAAAAGGUAUCGAGACAAAAGCUCUCAUUAUCCUCAAAAACAAUGAACUUACCUAGUUAUAGUAUAAAAAAGGGAUGCAACCACCCACUCCACACGCUUUAAAAUUUGAAAAUAAUUCAGAAAUUUGCAAAUAAUUCUAUUUUGCAUGGUGUUAAAUGUAUGUAAACACCUGGCAAUUGAGGCAAUCAAUGACAAGAAAGAUAUAGUAGGAUUCAAAUGGGAUUUGCGUCUUGAGGAAACAUAGAGGAUAACAUAGGCAGAAUGGAUGAGGUUCAUUAUCCUAGGACUAGGAGAUAUGACCACCCUCAUUCAAUUUUUCUAUUCAUAUUCCAAUUAUUACCGUUCCAUUUUUUAAUAUUUUCAAUAUAGCUUCUAGGAUUAAUAAAAUCAACGAAGAAUAUUGAUUCAGGCCUAAAACUAUUGAUCAAUCUCCUUUAAUCUAAUUCCAGUAUCAUCCCCUUACAAUGAUUCUCAGAGUAUAAAAGUCGUGGUUUGAACACACUCAGCUCAAAGAACUACAACAUGAUUAAUGGAAGUAUAAGGGCCAUCGGCACGCCUGGCCUUUAUUCCCACUUUUAUAGGUAAAUCUUUAAUCGAAGUCCAAUGCCAUCAACCAUCUAAAAGCCUUAAAUUUUCUAUUCUCAGUAGGAAAAAAAAAAAAAGAGAGAAGUCGUUCUCUGAUGAGAAAUGAAUUACAGACACACACAGCUGGGAAGAGAGAGGUACCAUGUAACUAUGCACACACGAAGAAGGAAGAGAAAGAGAGUUGAAGGGGGAAAAUGAGAAGUGGUUGACAACCUGAUUUUCACUCUGGUGAAAGGAUGCCCAAGAACUCCUUGAUGAAACAUGUCCAAACAGCCACGAUGUAACAAUCUCUUCCAAGCAUCUUCGGCCCAAGGGAAGAACACAAGAUUUGCGGGAAUGAGGAGGGUGGGUGGAACAAGAAGUGGAUAAGAACUUGAUCUUCAUUAUGGAGAAAGAAGUGGAUAACAAGUGAACAACUUGAUCUUCAGUCUGGUGAAAGGACUCAAAGGAACCCCCCAAAACUAACUCCUCGAUGAAACACAGAAAGAACCAUGGGUAGAACAGUCCCUGCCAAGCACAUUCCGCCGAAGGACAGAGCAUAAGAUUAGUGGUUGGGACUAGUCAAAAAAUAAGAGAAAAUUAGAGGAAUGAAUUCUGUAUUUGAAAGUGGUUCAGCACACAGACGGCUGACCCCAAAACAUACAAUUUAUAUGGCCAAGAAGAUUGCACAAAGGCAGGGUUUCUGCACCACAGCAACGCUAUACAGUAGGUAUCGUAUAUGAGAGAAAGUCACAAAACACAAGGGAAAUUUUGGCACAAUUAGAGGGACAUGGCAUGGUUGAGUGGAAGUAGUUGAGAGUCUGAGACUUGUAUAACUCUAAGAACCACAAUCUUGCUCUCACCCCAACAACGCACAACAACCUCCACCCCUCACAAACACACGCACAGACGAAAUCCCCCUUCUCUUUUCUACUUGUAAAUCUGUCUACACCUUAUCAUCCAUCUAUACAUAUCUCUAGACUAGUUCCAGUAUCUUCGAUUAUGUGGACUCCUUUAGUUAAGUUCUCAAGUGUUGCAUGUCGCAUACAGAAAGAUCUCAUGUGCAUGAGAGAGAGAGUAAUUGAACAAGCGUGAGUCGUCCAUUUCAACUGAGUUUGGUCAUUAGAUGUAUGAUAUGAUUUGAAUAAACUCAAACCUAAAAUGUCAGAUGGAAAAAUACUUUCAUACAACAAUUUUUGCUCAUUUUCUUGUUUCCAUGUGCACAAGGAUAAGGAAAUGGGUCAUGGCCAUCAAGUAAACCAUGAAACCUUUCAAAAAGAAACAACAAAAUCAACAAGAUAUUAACCAAAAACGAUGACGAUAGUACAAAACCAAAAACAGAGUCCAAAAUAAAUAAGAAAGUCUGCGUCCAGUGGCCAUAUCAUCCCUUGUGAUUGAGAUGCCAUCCCAAGCCACCAUUGGUACCGUGAGCACACACAUCUAGGUGAAGCAAAACUUUGAAUGAUGUACCCAUAUCUCAGUAAUCAGUAGGGGAGAUGACAUCAUCGAUCUUUAAAAUCAUCUUGACAACUUGUGUUGCCAGCAAGAUUUGCUGCUGCUUCCCUAUGAGAGUCUCAAAGACAUUUUGCUCACGCAUAUCAUAUGUGCCAACAUCAUUGCAGUCAAUCCCACAGUAGGCAUUGUUAUCCUGCAUAUCAAAUUGAAAUUUUCAUUUUAAAAUCAAUAACCAUUAUGAAAGUGCAUAUGUUUCAGAGUGUGCACACAAGGGUGUGUAUAUGCAUGUGCAGAUCUGUGCGUGUGUGUGUGUGUGUGUGAGAGAGAGAGAGAGAGAGAGAUUUAAUCAGAAGCUCCAGGUCAGAGUGAAAUUAGCUGCCAUAUCUCACGCAUGAUUUUACCUUAAUUUGCUGAGAUUUCACUGCAGAUAGGGUUUCGAUGGGUUGGAGGCCACUAUUCUCUGCAAGUGCCAUGGGAAUUGAAUCCAAAGCAUCUCCAAAUGCCCUGAUAGCAUACUGUAAACCAACCAGGCAAAUAAUUAUUACUAAAACUACCACUAAGGGUAUAAAAGACAAGAGUAACAUCUUCAUACCUGCUCAACUCCUGGAUAUUUAUCAGCAGCUGCCUCUACAGCAAUAGAGCAAGAAAUCUCAGCUGAGCCUCCACCAUACACAAUAGAAUUAUUGCGAAUGAUAUUCCUAGCCACACACAGUGCGUCAUGGAUGCUACGCUUUGUCUCCUCUAUUAUCAUUUUGUUACCUAAUGCACCAUCAAACAGCAGAAUCUUGUGUAAGAUCGUUUGAAUGCCUUUAAGACCAUUCUUUCUCAGUUUUCAACUAUUUCUUUCUAAUAAUUCUACCAUUCAUUAUUGUUUUUUCUCUUCUCCUUUUCCCCAUUUUUUUAGUUUUCGUAUCCUAUCUCUCACUCUUCUUCUUCCCCCACCCCCACCCCCACCCAUGGAAGUUACAGACCAACCAGCUCCUAUGAGAGGAGAGGAGAUAUAGCAAACCUCUGUCUUUCCCCCUCUCCUUCUCCCUGUUUGCCCUCUCUCAUGCUUUCUUACACAACCACACAAAACUAUUUAUAGCCGAUGCCUACCACACAACACGGGUUUUUUUAAGAAGUUGUAGUCCUGCUAAGAGUUAAUUUGAGUAAGAAUGAGUUCACUCUAGUUGGGAGGUCAAAACCAUAGGUUUUUAUUUUUUACCAAUUAUCUUCAGAUGCAAAGUAAGGAAACUUCCUACUUUGUAGUUGAAUUUGUAGUCAGUAUCUUCUUUUAAAGAAUACCAUGUGCCAGGAUGGAAAAAGGUUUAAUGGAUGAAAAAGACUUUUUAUCUUUCAAAACUCAUAGUUCUUGGUUAAGUCACCUGACCAUUUUCAUGGUAUUUUCAAAAUUCCAGUGUCAGCAUCUAAUAGAUUGAAAUGCUUGCAAAGAAGUUUCAUAUGGACUUGUGAGGUGUUGAGUUCAAUUUUCAUUUUAUUUAUUGGAAUUUAUUUUCCCUGGGAAGAUCUUUGAGAGUGAUUACCUGUGCUCUCUUAGGCAAAAGGCUUUGGAGGUUUGUAAUAGAGAGCAAGUUUAUGAAGACAGAUGAUGGAUUGAAAAAAAAAAAAGCAUCCAAAGAGGGUAAUUGGAUGUUUACAAAAGAAAGGGAGAACUAUAAUCAUUGUAGCCUUCAAUGGUUUUGGCAAGGACACUAGGGAUGAAAUGCUCUGGCAAGCACAUUGCUCUCUAUCAUUUAGGUCCUAUGAUUAAAGAUAAAUACCCAUAUCUUAGAGGACAAAUAUAGAUGUACAAAUGAUUAAUCAUGAAGGCUUCUCUAUGCCUGUGAGUCUGAUUAUGAUGGACGUGAGGGAGAGUACACGAUUAACAGGAGAAAGAUUGGGACCAUGAUGAACUCUAUCUUGCUUUUAGUUAAAUGAUUAGAGAACAUGUCAGUGUUCUUGCAGAGGCUUUAUGCGUCAAAUCUUAAUAAGGACAAGGACAGUCUUGAAUGGAGACUCAGAAAAACAAAACUUCAUGAUAAAAUUUUCCUAUAGCCAUAUAUGGAUCGGAUCAUGGGAGUUUGGACGAGCCUAUUCCUUUCCUGCCCAUGUGUGGACUGCAGGAUUCAUCUGCUGUUAAAGUGGAGGGCCCAUUAUUUUGACAACAAAGAAAUAAGUUUCUUAAUCAUUUUGUUAGUAUGGGUAAGGUUGGUUCUUACCACAUCAUUAUUGGAUCACAAAUUGAGGGAAGAGUAGGAGGAUUACCUAGUAAUCCAUUGGAUAGUUGCUUAGAGCUUUAGAAUUUCAUUAUUCUUUAUUUGGCCUAUGUUGAACUAUGCCUACAUCAAUUUUGGACUUCAUUCAGGGUUGGUGAACCAAGACCUGCAAUGCAAGGGAGAUUAAUUGGGAAACAGCACCAGUUUGUGCACUUCAGUGCUUCUGGAAUAAGACACUGUAAAAUCAUUGAGACCUUUUUCCAAUGAACUUCCUCCUUACUCUCUGAGUUAAAGACUUUCAUUUUUAUUUUUAUUUUUAACUUUGUAGAUUUGUCGAUUUCCUUGUCUUGUUAUAGACUUCCCUUUCAGGAUUUCGCAUAUUUGUACCCCUUAUCAUCCUACUUUUUUCCAUUUCUUGGGUGCUUUUUAUACAUCCCCGUGUACCAGAUUUGUCACAUAACGAAUUUUCUUACAUCCCUCCACCCCCACUAACACACACAAAAAAGGAAAAGAAAAAGGUACAAGGUUGGUGUUUAAUGUCAAUAUCUAACCAUUAUUUUCUAGAAAUGUUAACAACUAUCCUUUACCCUUCAAACAAGGACAAGUCACAAACAGCUUGGCCAUAACAAAAAUUCACACUUUAAUUGAUAGCCAUAACUAAAAUGGCUGACAUGAUUAUUAAACAAUUCAUGUACUAGCCUUUUAAAGCACAACCAAACAGCACUGAGCUAUUCCUGCUGGCUCACAACAUGGAUAAAAUCAUCACUCUGAUCAAAUAUGCAAGGAAUACAAAAUAAUAAUUGAUCAAACUAGAAUGCAGAAAAUGUCAUCUCUUUUCCCAAAUGUAGUGUUUUAGAUGUGCAAGCAAGAAUUAGUUUGAUAAAAUGGGUCACUUGGUAAAAUCAACAAAGCUAAACCUUAUGCCAAAUUACAACAGGAGAACCCAGAACAUGCCAAAUGCAAAAUUAACAAGUUAAUAGCUUAGCUAAACUUACCAGCUAGUAAAAUCAUUUACCAUCAGGGAUGAUGGUAUCUAACACAAUUCUCUAAAUCUAACAGAUUAUAUCUCGAUAAUCAGAAAAAAAAAAGAAGAAAGAGAAAAAUAGGAAUGUAAUAAACAAGCAAAUAAUGCGCCAUUCAUAUAUGAUAUAACAACUAAUUAUAAAGCAUUUAAAUGAAAUAUAUAUACAAAAUGAACAUAUUGCAUUCUACUUUUUAACUCCAGACCACAAUGAAUAUUUUGCUCAGAUGACAACUCACAGCAUUAUAAACCAAUAUAAUAUGUCAAAAGAAACAAAAUGAUCAUUACAGAAAAAAGGGAAGAAAAAACAUAAGCCUACCACCACGAACAAAUAUGGUUACAGCCCUUGAAUUUGCACAGCGUUCAAUAUACAGCAUUCGGUCUUUAGUGGUACCAAAUGAUUUUUCUCGAACCAAACCAGCCUAAAUAAAUAACAUGGAAUACUAUAUCAGUGUUUCUGGUGCCCACAAAGUACAAGCACAAUUUAAGAGGAUAAAUUACAAAUAUCAAGUUGAGAGUUCAAUAUAAAAUAAUAUACAUAAAAUUCAAGUCACAGAUUCUUAAUGAUCAACAAACUUCUCCGAAGAGUUUGGCUAUUAUAAAAAAGAAGAAAAACUAAUAUAAUUAAAAAAAAAAAAAAGAUAGUCAAGUGAGAGUAACAAUAAUAAAUGAUGAUAGUUUGAGUGUCAUUCUAAGCAAUUAUAAAAUAAGAUACUAGCAUCAGAUGUGAAACAAUGCAAAAAAGAUGUGGCACCAUGAGCAACAAGCUCUUCUAAGGAGUCACUACAUAGAUCUUCACAAUUUAGGCAACAUGUAAGGAAGAUUGUAAACACACACGGCAGAGAGCUGCAGGCAGUAAUUGGAUGUAUCUGUGCAUGUGACAGUCAGGAGAUUGAAGAUGGUGCAGGAGGCUCAUUAUGGAAGAGUGAACACUCAUCCAUCAGGCCCACAUCACAGAAUGAUCAUAAUUCAUACAAACAGAUUUUUUUUUUUUUUUUUGAUAAGUAAAAGAAGUAUAUUAAACGAAAAGAGGAAACACCAAAAACCGGUGCCCUCUAAGUAUACAGGGAGUAUACACACCACCUUCCCUAACUAGGAGCCUAUCCAAUCUACAAAACUUACAAGAGAAGAAUGACUCUCUGCUAGGGAACCCCUGACCCAUGACCAAAGAUUACAUACAAAAGAAUAUUUCAACCUUUGAAGCAAAAGAUCCUCAUCCCCAAACGCUAGGUUAUUUCUCUCCUUCCAAACUGACCAAAAAAUACAUAAAGGCACCAUUUGCCAAGCCUUCUUGCGUCUUUUCCCCACGAACCCUCCAUUCCACCCAAGAAGGGUUGUCUUCACUGUACACGAAAGAGUCCAAGAUAUACCAAAAAGGGAGAAAAGGAGGUUCCAUAGGACCCGCGUCUUGACACAAUGCAGUAGGAGAUGAUCCACUGUUUCUUCUUCAGAUAGACAAAGAAAGCACCUAUUUGCCAAAGAGAACCCCCUCCUUUGAAGUUGCUCCUGUGUUAAAACUUUACCCCAAGAAGCCUCCCAAGCAAAGAAAGCUACCUUGGGAGGCACUCUUGCCCUCCAAAUUCUUUCGCUAGGGAACAUAGAAAGGCCCCCCGGCUCCAUCAUAGAAUAAAGGGACCUAACUGAGAAAGCCCCAUCAUUUGAAGUUGUCCAGAUCACUCUAUCUUCCUCCUCCCUUUGAACCCUGAAAGCUUGGAUCUUCUUCAACAACCACUCCACUAAAUCAAUCUCCCAAUCAUUAAACGCCCUUGCAAAGAGAGGAGUCCAACCAACCCCAUCACCAACAGGAUUCCAAACCUCCGAAACCCAAGCAUUCUUCGACAUGGACAUGGAAAAAAGAGAGGGGCAAGACUCACAAAGAGGCCCAUAACCACACCACUUGUCUUUCCAAAAUUUCACUAUUUGCCCAUUACCCAAAUGGAAAGCUACCCUGCCAUCUAACAGCCCCCACUUCUUCCUAAUUGCUUUCCAAAGCCCAACUCCGUUUCUUCCCAUCACAUCCCGAGUACACCAGCCCCCCUCCUCUACGCCAUACUUGAGGCUAAUUACACUCCUCCACAACGCCUCUCUCUCAUUAGCAAACCUCCAAUUCCACUUACACAAAAGGGCGCUAUUCAUCAAAGAUAAAUUUCUCACCCCUAGCCCACCUUUUCUUUUCUCCAAGCAUACCAAGUUCCAUCUUACAAGGUGAGGUUUAUGGGCUAGAGCUCCCCCACCCCACAGAAAAUCCCUCUAAAUUUUCUCCAAUCUCAACCUCACUUUUCUAGGCAAAUAAAAGAGAGACAUCAAAUAAAUAGGCAUACUGGACAUAGUGCUUCUGAUUAGGGUGAGUCUUCCCCCUUUAGAUAUGUACCAUCUCUUCCACAUAGCAAGCCUUCUACGAAAACGCUCUUCAACCCCAUCCCACACAACCAAAGAAUUGAAAGCUGCCCCUAAGGGCAUUCCCAAAUAACUAGAAGGAAUCCCUCCCACUUUACACCCUAACUCCAAAGCCAAACCCUCUAUCUAUAUUCAACACCCUUCCCACCGGGAUCAUCUCACUCUUCUCUAAGUUAAUCCUCAAACCCGAACACGCCUCAAACCACAUGAGAAGUCAGCUUAGAUAAGUCAUCUGAUCUGAAGACUCCUCACAAAAAACCAACGUAUCGUCCGCAAACAACAAAUGCGAUAUUUGCAUCCCCUCACCCCUCCCACCACUCACCUUCCACCCAGAUAAGUAGCUCCCACUAAUAGCCCUUCUCAUCAUACUACUGAAAACCUCCAUGGCGAUCACAAACAAAUAAGGGGAAAGGGGAUCUCCUUGUCUUAACCCCCUCGUGCUUUGAAAAAAACCGGAUGGAGAACCAUUAACUAACACGGAGAAUUUCACAGUGGAGAUGCACCAAUCAAUCCACUUUAUCCAUCUCUCUCCAAACCCCAUCUCUUUAAGAACAGCCAACAAAAAGCUCCAGCUAACACGGUCAUAAGCCUUCUCUAUAUCCAACUUGCAUAACACCCCUCCCACAUUGUCUUUCAACCUUGAGUCCACAACCUCGUUUGCAAUCAACACUGCAUCCAAAAUUUGUCUACCCUCCACAAAGGCAUUUUAAGACUCUGAGAUCACUUUCCCCAUCACCUUUUUAAUUCUAUUGGCCAACACCUUGCCCAACAACUUGUAGAGGCUGCCUACAAGGCUGAUAGGCCUGAAAUCUUUCAAAUCUUCAGCACCUCCCUUCUUUGGAACUAAGACAAGGAAAGUUGCAUUUAGAGAUUUUACAAAUCUGCCCCUCUCAUGAAAUUCCUUGAAGAAGCCCAUUAUUUCAACCUUUACUAAAUCCCAACUGAACAACCAAAAAGCCAUGGUGAAGCCAUCCAGGCCGGGAGCUUUAUCCUUGCCUAGAUCUGAAAGUGCCGCGAACACCUCCCCUUCCGUAAAGGGAAUUUCCAGCCCCUCAAUACCAGGACGCCACCGCCCUUCUUCGGUAUACAAAUUAUUAAAAGCUCCCACCACACUAUUUUUUAAAUCUAACUCCUCCGUAUGCCAACAAUCAUCCACUUUCAGCCUAGACAACCAGUUCCUUCUGUUAUGCGCAUUUGCCAUCCUAUGAAAGAAUCUGGUAUUAUUGUCCCCUUCCUUCAACCACAAUUCCCUCGAUCUCUGUCUCCAAGAAAUUUCUUCCCUCAACACCCAUGUCUUAUAAGCCUCCUUAGCCUCCUUCCUUGCUUCACAAUCCUCCAAACUCAGAUAUACGUGUGCCACACUUUGCAGUGAAUAUGAGGUGUUGUCAUACAUGGGAAAUUGCCAACAGCUAGACAAGAGAACCAUGCAAAGCAGUCUCUAAUAUUUAAUGUAAAAUAUACUAGCCCUUAGUUAAUGAGCAUCAAUGCAUUACAAUCAUAAACAUCAGGGAAAGGAUUUUAUCAUGUGACAAAAAAAUACAUAACGAACACAUUCUUACAAACUCUUUUCCAUUAAGAUACAAACAGAACUGGCUUGUGAAGUCCAAAUCAGUAUUGAAGAUCUGUGGAUAUGGGAACCAUGCCAACAGAUGGAACAGUAAUUGUUGAUGCAACAAAGGGUCCUAUGAAUCACAGCUCACAUCUCGCUUUAAGAGCAGGAGAAAUAGUUCAGAAGUCCACCCAAGUAAAAUCCUAAUUGCACUAAAAGGUAUACCCAGUACAUCUUAAAAUGACUAUAGAGAUGGAAGGGAUGAACAAUAAGAGGGUGGAGGUAAUUCCAUUUAUUGUUAGUAGAUGAUACCCUCAUUUUUUGGUAAUACAUGUCAAGAACUGAUAUAUUUGAGUGGGCUUCUCAUGUGGGUUGAUGCAGUUUAUGGGCUGAAAAUUGAUUUGGAGAGGAGUGACAUAAUUCCCAUGUGGGGUGAGGUGGGGGGAAAACUGCAAUGAUCCUGAAUGCAGGGUAGACAAAUCUUGAAUACAGUUUCAAUCACUAAUGACACUAUAGAUUCUAGGAAAAAAAGCUUGAAUGCAAGUUCAGUGUGCAAGUAGGACAUAGAAAAAAGAUAUCAUCACGUGAACUGAAAUUUUCUCCAUUCAAUCAUGGAUAAAUGGGUUUUGGGAGAAAUUGGUUGAGAUGGGUGUACUUUUGUAUUAUCUAUAGUGAGAUUCUCAAUAUUGGUCAAUGGCACUCCCAAAGUCUUUCCAAGGUUUUAGACGGGUAGGGUGACGCUCUUUCCACUUACCUCUUUGUGUUCACCAUAGAAGCUCUUUGCUGUUUCAUUUUAAAAGCAAGAGAAGUGGGCCACAAAAGUGGUUUUAAGAUAGGUGAGAGAGAAGAAGAGAGGAUGGAAGUCCUUCAUAUAUUAGUUGCAGAGGACACACUACUAUUUUGUGAGGCCACUGUGGAGCAUCUCAGGUGCUGGAAAUGGAUGCUAAUAUGUUUUGAGCAUGCGUCAUGUACAAAAAUCAAUUUACAAAAAGGUGAAUAAGCUCUUGUUAGUGAGGUGUUUGAGAUUAAUAGAUUUGCCUAUUUGUUUGGCUGCAAGGUUGGUUGCAUUCCUACUACAUAUCUUGAUUUGCCUGUAGAAGCAUCUCAAAGACUUAGUGGCAUGUAGUACUUAGUUGAAAAAAGAUUUUAAAAAAAAUAAAUCAAUUAAUCAAUUAAUUAAAACUAGCCUCUUGGAAAAGAUAGUAUCUAUCAAAGGGAGAUAAGAUUAAUCCUUACCAAGAACAAUUUUUUGAGCCUUCGAAUUUUUAUGUCUUUAUUUGUAAUUCUUAGAAAAGAGAAUAUUAAACUGGAAGAUAUCUAGAGAGAUUUUUUUGUAGAGAAAUCGCUUAGAGGGGAAACAAUACAUCUUCUUAAAUGGAUGAUAGUUUGCAAGUAUAGAAAGUAUGUUGGGUUGAGACUUAGGAAGUUGGAUGCCUGAAAAAGAUGUGACUUUGCAAAUAGUUUUGAAGAUAUGCUCAUGAGCAUGAUAGUUUGUGGAGGAGAAUUAUAUGAGGUAAGUAUGAUGAAGAGGAAGGAGGUUGGUGUAUUAAAGAAGUGAGAGGCUUUCUAGUGUGAGAUGUGAAAAGACAUGAGGGGGAGGAAAUAGUUCAACCCAAAACUUCCAUGUCAAGAAUAGUAGAAGGACCAGAUUUUGGUUAGGUAACUAGGUAGGGGAAUGACCUCUACAAAAGUCGCUAGUGGAGAAAGCUCUUGAGCUUCCCUUCAUUCAUUGCUAAGCCAAGGUCCCAAGUCUCUAAGUCAACCUAUGCUUUUUCGAGGAAUCUUGAACCCAUGGGCAUACGGCCUAACAAACCUUCCCUUUUUGUCAACUUCAUGGGUGUUGCCCCGUUCCCAAAUCUUUUUCAUUGACAACUUCAAACUAAUCAAUCGAAUGCUCAUUAAUACAUAAUCGAUUGAGCACUACUUGAAAAUGGCCCUUCUGCUUAGAAACGAAAUGAUCCAAAUGUUCCUAGAAAUUCUUGUUCCCAUUAGUGGCCAAAAUGCCAAGCUAGAUUUAUAGCUAGGUAGAAUAAAGAGAGGCCUCAAGCCCUUCAUCCAUCAUUUUUUUAAACCACACGUCCCCCUGAAAAUUUAAAGAAUGAGUAUACCAUCUUUUAUAUAAAGCUUUUAGUGAAAAGAGCCUUAAAUAAGCUUUACCUAUGUUGUUUAGCAUAGCCUCUUCCAAAAACAUUAUAGUUACAUAUCUAUGAGAGGAAUAGGAGAAUGGAGGUCAUUGGUCCUUGGGAGUUUAAAGAUUGGGAAAUGGAUGGAGUGGGUCAAUUUUUUAAGCCCUUAUUUUUUUUUUGAUAAGUAAAGCAAUUGUAUUAAAAGUGCCUAAAGUAUACACGAUGUAUACAAGGCCAAAAAAGAGGAGGCAUAGACAAUUUUUUAAGCUUAUUAAAGUUGUGAGCUUACAAACAAAAGAGAAAUAUAGUGUAUUGGGGAGGGAGGAGAAAAAAGAGAGAUUUUAGGUAAAAUCCAUCUACAAAUGCUUAUGUGCUAAGGCUAAAGAGUUGUUUCCUAUUCAAGAUGUUUAGGGUAUUAGUGCACCUUUGAGAACCCCUUUUUUUCUUUUUUGGGGGGUUGGGGGUGGGGGUGUUAGGUUUAUUAUAAUCUUUACAACUAAUGUGAUUAGUAAGUAAAACGACAAUGAUCAUGAGAGAAUCUCACCUAAUUUGGGAACUCUUUUAUUAUCAAUGUGUAGUAUGUAUUUAUAUUUGAGUUUGAUGCUACUCAUCCUAAAAUGUAAAAUAAAAACUACUAUUAUAAAUAUGUUUACUUGAAUUUAGUUAAAGUAGAAAAAUGAAAGUACUUCCUAUGUAGGGCCUUUGAAAAUGAGGGGCAUCUUGUCCAAAGACUUAAACUUUAUUUCCUUUGGAAUAUUUGGACAUGGGCUAAGGUGUAUUUAGUUUCAGGCCUUGUUGAUUUUGUGGAUUGGUUAGGCUUUGUUUGAGGGGGUGUUGUUUUUUGUUGUUCCCUUUUUUUGUGGCGUUCUUAGACAUCCUUUGUAUACUUCUUGUGUACUUUGAGGCGCUUACCUGGAGUGUCCUAUAUUAAUAUAUUGUUUUUUGCCCAUCAAAAAAAAGUAGAAAAAUGAAAGUACCUUUUUCAAAAAAUAAAAAUAAAACACUAAUGUACAAUAAUUUAUUUAAUCAAAGGAUGAUUUUUAUAUCAAAAUAAAGGAAAUUGGUUAAAUAUUUAAUAACCUUAUUUUGAUCACUUUUCUCUUCUUUUUUUACAGAUAAAGAAAAGAAUAUAUUAAAAAGAGGCACCAAAAGUGUGACUCAAGGAAUACAAGACCUAAACACCCACCACCAAAAAGACUCAAACGGAAGACAGAUCUACAAAACAAGAUGGACUAUAACAACCUCAACAAGAGCCUAGCCAAUCAAAGAAUCUAAUUAACGUUAAAGGACAAUCAUCUAUAAACAACUUAGUCUCUAAUCAAAAGAAGCAAACAAAAGAACUUUUUAAUCUUUGGAUUGGGAUCACAUCAUCCUCUAAGGCAAUUUUAUCCCUUGCCUUCUACACCAUUCCAAAGAUGAAUAAUGAGAUUGUUCUUCAAACUUUCUUAAGCUUUUUGCCCACAAACAAACUGUGCCAACCCAAUAAAGUCUCUCUAGCCAACAAUGGAAGCACCCAAGACACCUCAAAAAGGACAAAGAGCAACUCCCAUAAAACCCUAGUUUUUACACAUUGAAUAAGGAGGUGAUCUAUAGACUCUUCAUCCAUAUGGCAAAGAUAACAUCUAUUUGCUAAGGACCACCCUCCUUUUUGAACUUGAUCCAAGGUUAAAACUUUUCCCCAUGUUGCCUCUCAAGUAAAAAAGAUAACUUUAGGUUGCACCCAUAAGUUCCAAAUGCUACUCGUUGGAAAAGAAACAUAGCUACCCAACUCCAAGGCGUCAUAUAGAGACUUCACAAUAAACUUGUCGCUUUUUGUCUCUGUCCAAAACACUCUAUCUUCCACAUCCCUACACACAAUCUUCCUAUAGAAACACACCAAAAAUCUCUCCACACAAUCCACCUCCCAAUCGUUGAAAGGUCUUGAGAAGCAUCCCCCUCCCUCCUUCGAUUAAGAAAAUCCAAACAUCUUCCACCCAUGCCUCCUUAGAGUCAGCUAAAGCAAACAAAGAAGGGAAUGACACACUCAAAGGUGUGUGCCCACACUACUUAUCCUUCCAAAAUUUCACCAUUCGCCCAUUACCGACCAAGAAAAAGAUCCUACCACUCAAAAGGUCUCAAUCCUUCCUACUCACUUUCCCCAACCCAACACCAUACACCUUCCUCACUUCCCAAGAAUUACACCCCCCCACCACACCCCCCACUUUCUUCCUCAUACAUCCCUCUAAUAACUUGAUUUUAAAGGCCUCUCUCUCAUUCCUAAAAUGUCAACUCCAUUUGCAAAGGAGAGUCUUAUUGAUAGUUGAGACACACUUAAUGCCCAAACCCCCUUUCCUCUUGUCUAAGCAAACAAUCACUUAUCUUACUAAAUGUGGUUUCUGCUCAAGGACCCCACCUCCCCACAGAAAGUCCCUUUGAAUAUGCUCUAAAUUCAAUCUAGCAAACACAUAAAAUAAAUGGGAAAGUUAGAUAAAAUACUUCGAAUUAGAGUAAUCAUCCCUCCUUUGGAAAUCUAUUGUCCCUUCCACAUGGUCAACCUUUUAUGAAACCUCUCUUCCACUCCAUCCCAAGUUGCCACUAAUUUAAACGAUGCACUUAAAGGAAGACCCAAGUAAGUGGAAGGGAGACUACCCACCUUACACCCAAGCUCAAAAGUAAGGUCACUUAUAUUUUCUACCCUUCUCAUAGGAAUUAACUCGCUUUUAUCCAAAUUUAUUCUCAACCUUGAAAUGGCCUCAAACCACAUAAGCAACCAACAUAGAUAAGUCAUUUGAUCUUAAGAUGCUUGGCAGAAGACAAGAGUGUCACCAACAAACAACAAAUGGGAAAUCUAAACCCCUUCUCCACUCUUCCCUUCACCUCACAACCUGAUAAAAACCUCCAUCCACUGCCCUCUUUAAAAGGCAACUGAGCGCGUCCAUUGCAAUCACAAAUAAAUAGUGCAAGAGAGAAUCCCCUUGCCUCAAGCUCCUUGAGCUUUGAAAAAAGCCAUUAGGGGUGCCAUUAACCAAAACAAGGAAACUUGUUGUGGAAAUGCAUCACCUGAUCCACCCAAUCCACUUCACCCCAAAACCAAUUUUUUGCAUAACUGAGAGCAGGAAAGUCCAUUUCACAUGAUCAAAAGCAUUAUUUUGGUCAUUACACAUGACAACAACUUGAUAAUCCAUUUUAUCAAGCACUUAAAUUUUACUUUUAAAACCCACAUCACUUUUGAAAUCACAAUUUACUAAAUGCUCAACUGUUUUACAUCAUAGUACUGAAUUGUUUCACAUCACAAUUGAUUUUUUAUUUUUUUUGUUUGCAGCACAACUAAAAACAAUUUUUCCCAAAGUUGCAGCAAUACCAAACUGACCAUAAAGAGGUUUGUCAUUUCACUCCGCUCCACUUGUUUUAGAGAGAGAGUAAUAAUCAUGCGUUCAAUAAAGAAGAGCAUUCAAAUUAAAAGUACAAGGAUAUUUUCAUUAAAUCCCUUUGGGAAUGGUCCAGAGUCCUUUUUUUAAUCGGAAAUGGUACAGAUUCUGGUUGCAUCUGGAAAAUUUUACAUUAUGGAAGUUCAUUGAUAGUCUAAACUGUAAAUAACUAGAUUGUGCUUUGCGUUUUCUUUUUCUUAUUUUUUUUUUCCCCAUGGGUGUUGUUAGAAGCCUUUCAAUAACAAUUUGUUUGCCCAUCAAAAAAAAAAUUAAAAACAAAAACAAAAAUCUUGUCAUAGUUCUUAGAACUUAAUAUUCUUCAGACUCUGAAUCAAAGAAACACUACACUAUCAGCAACAAAAUAAUAUUCAUAUCAAAAGGAGAAAAAAAGCAGGUUAGGGAAAAAAAAUUGUUGAUUCAUACAAUUAAAAAAGAGAAAAAAAAAAAGAAAGAAGCAAAAAUACCUUGCCCAGCUUUUCUGGUGUCAAUUCUUGGAACCUUGGCACAAUUCUUCCACCUACAAAGAGACCAACAGCAUCACUGAACAAGUAAAUACAGAAGAUAAAAAGUCAUAGUAACAGUUUUUGAGUGGUAUAGCAGAACUAACAAUCUAAAUUGGCACCAACCUGUGGCUAUUGCUAUCAGCUCUAACUCCACACCUCCAACCCACCGGACAGCAGGCAAAUUCCUGUGCAUUAAUAAAUGAUUUGCUUCAUCAUCAAACCCCCAUUGGCAGAUAACCAAGGUAGCACCAACAUCCUGAAAUUCAAUAAAAAUAGGGAUCAUAAAAGAAACAUAUAUUUGGCAAAUUAGUCUCCUAUUGCUUCUAAACAACAUUAUAAAUAAACCAUUGUAAUUUUACAAUUAAAAACCAGGUAAUAUAAACUAAUACAUCAGCUUAAUGACAAUAGGUGAUUGAUAUGACAUUCCAAAAAGGAAAAUAAAUCAAACCAAAGGAAAAUUAAAAAAGAAAACAAUUAGAAAGAAAGAUAAAUGAAUUGGAGUCAUAAAAAUGCCAUAGAAUUUUUCAGCAAUUGCACCUUGCAUUUUUGAACCAUGUCAUCAAAGUAUUUCUGCUCUUGGAGACGUAAAGUCUGGAAUUUUUCCACUGUAUCAAUAUCAACCUUAUGCUUAGUUUUUGGCUUAGGUGGCUCAAAGGGGCAUGUCAAAAUAGCAAUUUUUGCAUCUUCAAUAUGCUUGGGCAUUUGUGGAUGGCUCAUAUCCUUGUCAACAACAAUUCCAUGUAUUAACUCAGUAUCUUCCAGUUUUCCACCUACUUUCCCCUCUACUUUAAUUAAAUCUAAGUUAACAUCCCUCCUCUCCAAAUCUGCAACUGCCAUAACUGCUUUAACAGCAAUUUCAGCCAAACUGCGCUUGCAUCGAUUCACACUACAAUAUAAAGAAGAAAAGCAUUACAUUUGCAGUACAGAAACAUAUAAAAGAUAAAGUUAUCUAGAGAAGUUGAGCUAAUAUCAUCAUGCACAUAAGUAGCAAUUACCCUUCCUAGCUUGUCCAUGUUUAUACUUCACAACCCAUUUAUGUCAAUAUGAACUCAAAACAAAAAGUUCAAAGAAUGGAAAAGAGCAGAAAGACAAAUAUUAGCAAAAACCUAAUAAGAUAUUUCCAGGGAUCUUUUGGUUUCUUCAACCACAAUUUUGUAUAGUCAAUACACAAUUUUCACUCUUCACAUCCGCCUCAGCAGAGCCAAAAUAGUUCUAGGACUAUCCUUCCUAAUACUUUUUUCUUUUAUAUAUCAGGAACACACUACAUCAUUUCUAUUAUUAAAAGGGUAAAGAAGGAUGAGACCUCUUUCCAUAAAAAUCUUAUCAAAACAAGAGAAAGAACUCCUUAAAAAAGAGCCAUAUAAGCUGAACAAACAAGAAAAGAUUGCCGAAAAUCUAAGAGUGAAACAUAAAAAACUUUUGCAUCAAUUAAGCUUCAGUAAAUAAGAAGAGCCUAUUUUAGAAAAUAUAAUGUACAUGAUGCCCAAAAAGAGCAAAGCAUACAAUAAAAACUCCCAAGUAUCGCCAACAAUUUAAGCUUACAACUUUGUCUCAGAAGCUAGAAAUUUAAAAAUAAUAUAUAUAUAUAUAUAUAUAUGAAAAGCAAUAGCAGCAAAGAGAAAAGAAGAAAGUAGCUCCAAUAUACAGUGAAUAGCAGGAAAUUGAAGGUGUAUAUCAAGUAAGUUCCCAUAAAUUAAAAUGAGAACUAUAGCCAUGGUAGGGGGAAGAAAUAGUGCUCUUUGUUGGUUUUUUUUUUUUUUUUUUUAGUAAUGCUCUUUGCUUAUAUUAUGCCAACCAGAACCCAAAACUAUGAAAUACAAAAACUAUUCAAUUCUUAAUUGGACUAUCAUUUCACCUUUAGCUUUAGCUUAUUUCUCAAUAUUGACAACAAUUGAAUUCUUAAUUGGACUAUCAUACAUACAUACAUAUAUAUAUAAGAGAUAUAACUAAAAAAGAAGUCAUAUGGUUGAGACACAGAAAAUCAAACAAUUAAGCAAAAAUCUUAGACGAGUCUCUUCAUACUAGUUCCAGUGACUCCAAUCAGCUAUCUGAUCAUAGUGCAUAGUUGUCUAGGGACACAAUUCUACAGAAACAGAUGCACAGAAGGAGCUAAUUCAGACUGCAAUAGGCACACAGCACACUAUAGUAAGUGGCUCAUUAAGCUAUUUCAUAAUAAAAGACUGGCAACCUGAGGAACUUUAGCCCAUCGAAGCUAGAUAAUACAGCAAGUACAGAGUGAGCUAAACUUCUCACCUAUGGCGCUCCAUGGGUUAAAUUAAUGUACUAGAAGUCUGCUGCUCAAGCUUGAGCUCAAUGAAUCCUCACUAUUAGAAAAAUUAUAGUCAAGUGCAGAGUUGGACUGCCAACAUUUUCAGGCAACUCAUGGAAGAUGACAUUUUCCAUUAUAAUCCACAAACCAGAAGCAAAACCAUAGAAAUAUUAGAAGAUGUUAUGUUGCAGAUACCAUGGACCGGAUAUUAGAUUUGAUAAGGUAUUUUUAGAACCUACAGUGAUGUGCCCUCCAAAUGGGGAGCAGAAGACUUAUUGAGAUGGAAAGCUGCAAUAAGAGGGAAAUUUUGAGUGAAAUCUUUCUAUCAAAAACUAAUGCCUCGAGAUUAAGCUGCUUUCCUAGAUAAAGAAUUACGGAUGUUGACUUCACCAUCAAAGGAAGCUCUUCGGUUUUGGAUAGUCAGGUGAGAGAAAACUCUAACUUUGGGCCAUUCAAGAUGAGAGAGAGGAACAUGAUAGCCUGUGCUAUACAUGUAGAAGGAAGGAAGAAUCAUUGGAUCAUAUGUUGAUUCACUGUUCAUUUUCCUGUAAAUCAUGGUUUUUGCACUUCCUUCAUUUCCUAUUUCUUGGUGCCUCCUGGGAACUUCAAAGAGAUACUCGGUUCACAUGUCAACCUAUUAAGCAAAUAAUACAGAGGUUUCAUGAUGAGUCCCUUAUUUUGUAGCCUGGCACAUCUGCACAGAGAGGAAUAGAAGGACCUUUGAGGGGAUAGAUCUACUCCUCCCAAAGUCAAAGAAGUUUUUUUUGCACUUGAGCAAUCUUGGGUUGAGGAUUAUUUUUUAGGCAGGAAACACUGCCUAGUGAAUUUCUUCAGUAGUGUGGGUUGUUCUCCAGCAUAAGGAGUGCAGUUUUUCCUCUUUUCUUUCUGCAUAGUGACUGUCAGUACAGUGUGAAUAUGCUCCUAGCGUACAUGUAUUGGACCCUAUUCGGUGCCUUUUGGAUUAGUUCCUCCAUUUACAUAUGAAUUUUACAAGAUAUUUUGGCACAAUGAGCCCAACAUGCAGGCAAAACCUACGAUAGAGGAAGGAUGUCAAAUCUAGUGCAGACUGCUAGAAACAGAAAGUAAUUUUCACAUUGUAAAAAAAGGAAAAUUAAGGCAGAAAUUUUCAAUGAUAUUGCUGUACGUAACAUUAUAAUGCCACAAGUCAUCAUUGAAGAGCAUGGAGAUCCCAUGAUGGACUAGAUGGAUGGGGGAGUGAACUUACAUCUUGGAUGAUAGAGUGGUCAUGCAAGUUUGAACUAAAGGUUCUAUAUUUGUUACUCCAAACUCAAACUUUUGAGCAAUGUGUUCCAAAUGUUCAACAGCUAUCCUACAAGCCAUUUCAUAGCCCUCUGCAACCCGAAUAGGAUGAAUCCCACGUUCAAGUAGCCCCUCAGCCUGCUCUAGAAGUGCACCAGCCAAAACUACAACUCCUGUUGUGCCAUCACCAAUUUCAUAAUCUUGGCUUCGAGAUAGCUCAACCAUCAGCUUCGCAAUUUGAUUGUCAACAUCCAUCUGCUCCAAUAUUGUUGCACCAUCAUUCGCUAACAAAACAAAUAAAAGGUGAGUGAAGAUCAUAGCUGAAGAAUCAAACCAUGGAACAAUGGUAUAAGAUGGUCUAUGUCAGGUCAUACAACAGCAGAACAAUUAUGCAUGAAUGGGAAUGUAUAAUCAUUUGCCAUCAUGUGAUGACCACACAAAAAGGUUUCAGCAGUCAAGAAGCAAAAAUUGAAUAAUGGGUCAAGAACUGAUACCACAUUCAAAAGGGGAAUGAACAAUGUGUUUGGAGUGGGGUAGAAAUAAAGUAUUUGCUUAAACUGGAACAAAGUGUUUGAAGAAAUUGAAUGCAACAGUGGGGUUUCUCAAUACAGAUUACAUUUCCAUCUUAAGUGGCAGAAUUUGUAUGAAAUUCAUCAAGUUUUAUCUUCAUUCUUUUUAAACAAAGUCAAAAGGUCCCUGGAAAAGUCCUUCAUAUUUAACCUCUUCUCAGAUGCCAAACAAAAGAAAGUAAAAAACCAAUUCUUUAAUUUUUUUUUCCUUUCCCAAUAAUUAAAUUACUUUCCCUCAUUUGAUUCCAAACAGGGUAGAAAGAAUUGCAAAAAAUAAAAAAUAAAAAAUAAAUGAGAAGACUUGGGGGAUCUAGAGAACCUUAUUUUAAUACAACCUUCCCAAAUUUGGGAAAAAAUUAAUCUUAACAUCAAAUACCUGUCUUAUUUCCUAUCCUAACCUCAGUUUUUAAUAACACUAACAGAGCAAAUUGAACACACAGUCCCUCCUUAUUUUAUUUGCCCCAAUAAAAUCAUUUACUAUCUAAAAUCACACCAUUGCCAAACACCAAAAACAGGGAAUCAUGUACAAAUCCAUGAUCACAAGAUCCAAUCACGAUCUUACUUACAUUCAGCUAAUCACCCCUGCACAGUACAAAACAACUUCUCAGGUUUCAAAAAAAAAUACUUCAUAAAAUUCAAAUCUCCCAACAAACAACUCGAAAAUGAAAUAAAUAUGGCAAUUGAAAUGCAAAACAAAGGAAAAACGCAUGUGUUGUAAAGAGUGGAGAAGAACAUACUAAUGGUGACAUCACCGUCGGGGCUCUGAAGUAUCUUGUCCAUUCCCUUGGGGCCAAGGGAGGUGCGGAGGAUCCGAGCCACCGCUUUUCCGGCAGAAAUGUUGGCUUUCUGAGCAUCCAAACCUCUCAAUCUGCUCUUUUGCUCUUGCCCCCUCAGUAUUAUGAAUGGCCUUCCGAACUCAUCGAAUGCUAAGGCCAUUUUCUUCUUAAUUUACCAAACCCUUUUUCUAGGGUUAGGGUUUUGGUGGGAGAUUCCAAGCACUUCAAUAUCAGUUCGUGCUACGAGCAAACGAUGAGAUAGAUGUAGGGUUUAGGGUUUUGUUGGAAGGACAGAUUUGGAAUAGAGUUGGGUUGGGCCAACCGGCUUGAGUUGGGUUGAGCUACUACUUUAGUCACUGCUAUUUUACACGUAAGUUACUUUCUUUUCUUUUCUUUUCUUUUCUUUUCUCUUUUUUUUUUUUAUUUUUCCUAUUUUCUAGUUGUAAAAAUUAUGUUUAGAAAAUAAUUACAAUAUUUUUAAAAUAUAUAUUUUUUUGGAAGAAGCAUUUAUUGAUGGUUAAUCCAAUCGAGAUAUGUAAUUAUAAGGGUUAAAAUAAUCCCUAUUUUAAAAAAAAAAAUCAAUUCAAUUAAUUUUUAAAUCUUCAAAAAUGAUAUUUUAUCAAAUACUUAAUUUCUACGACUAAAAAAAAAAUGCUUUCUUAGAAUCAUUCCAAAAUGAUAUUUGUUUCAUGGGAACUCGUCUCAGUUCCCUUGAGGAAUUUUUUUUUUUUUUUUUAUAAUUUGGGAAUUUAAAUAUAUAUAUAUAUAUAUAUUCAUGGGAACUCGUCUUGAGGAAUUUUCUUAUUUUUAUUUUUUUACUUUUUUUUUAUAAUUUGGGAUUUUUUUUUUCAUGGAAACUCGUCUAUUCAAGAGACGAGUUACCUUGAGGAAUUUUUUUUUAAAAUUUGUGAAUUUUUUUUUCAUGGAAACUCAUCCCUUGAAGAGACGAGUUCCCUUGAGGAAUUUUGUUUUUUUUUUUUAUAAUUUAGAAAUUUUUUUAAAAAAAAAUUAUUUUUGUUUUCAUGGGAACUGUCUCUUCAAGAAACGAGUUACCUUGAGGAAAUUUUUUUUUCUUUUUUAUAAUGUGUGAAUUCUUUUUUUAAAAAAUAUUUUAUUUUUCAUGGGAACUCGUCUCUUGAAGAUACGAGUUCCCUUGAGGAUUUUUUUUUUAUUUUAUAAUUUGUGAUUUUUUUUUCAUGGGAACUCGCCUCUUGAAGAGACGAGUUCCCUUUAGGAUUUUUUUUUAUAAUUUGGGAAAUUUUUUUUUCAUGGAAACUUGUCUCUAGUUCCCGUGAGGAUUUUUUUUUUUUUUUUUUUUUAUAAUUUGAGAAUUUUUUUUUAAGAAAAAAUAUUUUUUUUAAUGGGAACUUGUCUCAGUUCCCUUAGGAUUUUUCUUUCCUUUUUUUUUUUUUUUUUUUAAAUUUGAGAAUUUUUUUUUAAGAAAAAAUAGUUUUUUUUUUCAUGGGAACUCGUCUUAGUUCCCUUAAGGAAUUUUAUUUUAUUUUAUUUUUAAUUUGUGAUUUUUAAAAUAAAAAAAAAAAUAUUUUUUUCAUGGGAACUCGUCUCAGUUCCCUUGAGGAAUUUUUUUUUUUAAUUUGUGAUUUUUUAAAAAAAUAUAUAUAUUUUUUGUUUAAAAUAUAUAUAUUUUUUUUCAUGGGAACUCGUCUCUUGAAGAGACGAGUUCCCUUGAGGAUUUUUUUAUUUAUAAUUUGUGAAUUUUUUUUCAUGGGAACUCGUCUCUUGAGGAAUUUUUUUUUUUAAUUUGUGAUUUUUUUUAUAAAAAAAAUAUUUUUUUUUCAUGGGAGGAUUUUUUAUUUUAUUUUAUUUUAUAAUUUAUGAAUUUUUUCAUGGGAACUCGUCUCUUGAAGAGACAAGUUCCUUUGAGGAUUUUUUUUUUUUUUUUAAAUAUUUUUUUUUUCAUGGGAACUUGUCUCAUUUUUUUUUUUUAAUUUGUGAAUUUUUUUUUUCAUGGGAACUCAUCUCUUGAAGAGACGAGUUCCCCUUGAGGAUUUUUUUUUUUUUUUAUAAUUUGGAAUUUUUUUAAAAAAAUAUUAAAUUUUUUAAUGGGAAAUCGUCUCUUCGUCUCUUGAAGAGAUGAUUUCCCUUUUUGAAUUUUUUUUUAAAUGGAAAUAAAAUCGUCUUCUGAAAAGACGAUUUUGGUUUUAAAAAAAAAAUUAUCCGUUCACCCUCUCUCCUAGGUGGCAAAAACUACUAUAUAUUUGUAAUAACUUCUUUUACUACAAUAAUUUAAGAAUAACUUUUUAAAAUUACCGUACUAUUGAGAAAAAUCCAAGUUAUUAACAUGGUCAUUCACCUUUUUGAGGUUUUGAUUAAAUAUAUCUUAUUUCCAUAAAUUUAUAAUUUCAUUAAAUAUUUUCUUUAUUUUAAAGGAAAUGGGAGGUGAGUGAAAAUAACAUAUAAAAAAAAUAUUAAUGAAAUUUCAAACAAAUGAAAAUCAAGUGUACUUAACCAGAACUUAAAGAGGAAGCCAAUAAAAUUAACCCUAAUAAUAAUAAUUACUUAUGAUAACUUGGCUUUUGUUAUACUUUGAACACAUCCAAGUGACUAGACACCUAACCAACUAGACCUCAAACGUUUUGAAAUUGUUAUAUUAGAGUUUUUAGUCUCGGCAUAAGCAAUUUGAGUGUUCUCUUGUACACUUUCAAUUCAUGGUACAAAUUUUUUAUUUAAAUAAUAUUAUUUUAAAAAAACAAAAUUUUAUAAAAUAUUUACAAAAAUAUAUAUUUUUUAAAUUGUUUUAUAAAAAAAAGAUUUUAAAUGCAAAUAUCAUCUAUAAAAAAAAAUAAUUUUACAUUUCGAAAUCAUCCUUUUUAAAAAAUAUUUAUUAUUAAUUGAUAUUUUAGUGGUGUUUGUUUUUUUUUGUUAUCUAUUUAGUUAAAAGUAACAUAUUGAUAUCAAUUAAUAUAACUAAAUUGAACUUAUUAAUAACAAGUCCACUUUAAUUAUAUUGGUUGAUAUCAAUAGGUUAUUUUAAGUUUAAUAAAAAAAAUCAAAUAUUUUAGGUUUUUAUAUUCAACCAAAAAACAAAUGUUACUUUUAUCUUUUAUCUUUUAUUAUUUAUUAUUUUGGUAAAAUCUUCUUUUUCAAUAUGUGCACAAUCUAUAUAUUUGUACUAAAUUAUUUUGUUUAAAAGACAUUAUGAGAUUUUAUUUUAUUUUUUAUUUUUUUAUCACCAUCUUGGUUUUGAUAUAAAAAACAAGAGGGAAUAAAAAAAACUGAUCUAUCCUUUGGUGAGAACCCAAUCCAUUUAACGGUUAAGGAGGUUUAUCACCUUCAACAAGAAUUGAUAUUUUGAAAUAAGAUUUUGAAUUUAUAAAUUAAUUAUAUUAUUAAAAUUAAGUGUCGAGUCUAAAAACCAUUUUUUAAUAAGACUGAUAAUAUCGCAAUGUCAAGAUUUUUACUAGCAUAAUAAUAUAUUGAUGUUACAUAGAAAGCAACAAUUUUUUCAAAACUUAUGAAAAAAGAACAACAUCAUACCUAAACAAUUCAAAAUGCAAACAUGUUCAUAUUUUGAUUUUUUAAAUAUGAGACAAAUCAUUCAACACUCCUUUCAGAUUUCUAGAUAUGUGACAGUUCAUUUAGCAUUUUCUUCAUAGAUCAUAGUUCUUAUGUCUUGGUGGUUGAGAUUAUAAUAAAUAGCUUAGGUUGUUAAGAAUACAAAAUUCAAAUUAAACUUGUUUGUUUAUCAAACUCGUUUAAUAGUAUGAAAAUUCUUAUAAAGGGAAUACGUUGUAAAGGGUUUUGAUUUUAUUUCUUUUUCAUCUUAAAAUAAACCAAAAAUAUAAUUAUCGGUGGCAACGGCUUUUUAUUACUCAAGCUUAAAGUAUUUUAGUGUACUCCAAUAUCUCAAAUUUUAUUGUUGAAAUUCUAUCAAAACUGAUAUGCAUUUUUAUUAAAUAGUUUAUUUAGAAAAAGACUACCGUCAAGUCAAUUCACACAUAAUCUCAAAAUAACUACAUAUAUGAAAGAAUAACGUGAGGUGCAUGAUUUAUGAAAUACAAUUUGGUUCAUCACAAUGAAUACAUUUCAACUUUCAAUAAAAAAUAAAUAAAAAUUGAAAUUUUACUUAGAUUUCAUACUAUAUAUGUUAUUGAAUAACAUUAUUUUAUUAUAUUGGUUGAUAUUGAUAAGUUACUUUUAAAAAGCAAAUUAAAAUAUUUGAUUUUUUCUAUUCAAACAAAAAAUGAACACCAUCUUUAUCUUUUAUUAUUUCUUAUUUCAUGUAAAAUAUUUUUUUGGAAUAUAUUCACAAUCUAUAAAUUUAUACUAAAUUAUCUUGUUUAAAAGACAUUCCAAUAUUUUGUUUUUAUUUUUAUUUUUUUAUCAGCUCUAAUACAAAAACAAGAAGGACUACAAAAAAAACUAAUCUAUUGAAAACCCAAUCAAUUUAACGGGUGUUGAACGAUAUACCAUUAAUUAGGAUCUAAAAGGAUGUUUAUUUACCUUUGAUAGGAAUUGAUGUUUUGAAAUAAGAUUUUGAAUUUAUAAAUUAAUUAUAUUAUUAAAAUUAGGUAUUGAAAACCUAACUUUCUCUACUAGUAUUUUGUGUAAUUUUGUUUGUUAUAACAAGCUUUUAUACAUCAUAGCAUAAGGUUUUUUUUAAUAAAAUAAGACUAGCAAUAUCACAAUGCCAGUAUUUAUCAUAAUAAUAUUAAUAAUAUUUUGGUGUUACACAUAAAGUAACAAAUAUUUCAAAACUUAUAGAGGAAGAAUAUCAUCAUACAUAAAAAAUUCAAAAUAUGGUGUUACUAUUUUGAUUUCUUAAAUAUAGGACAAAUGAUUCAAUUCUUGAUAUGUCACCGUUCAUGCAACAUUUUUUUCAUCUUUGUCAUCAACAUUUUCUUCAAAUCUAUCAUCAUAAUUCCGGUGUAUUGGUAGAUGGGAAUAUAGCGAUAGUUCACGUUAUCAAGAAUACAAAAUUCAAAUUAAACUUGCUUCUACUCAAGAUUUAUUGAACUUGUUUAAUAGUAUCAAAAUUCUUAUAAUGGGAAAAUUUUAUUAAGUUUUUGAUUCUAUUUCUAUUUUGUCUUAAAAUAAGCCGAAAUAGAAAUGAAUUUUUUCUAUUUUAUCUUAAAAUAAACCAAAAAUAUAAAUGGAUUUUUAUCACUCAAGCUUAAAGUAUCUUAGUUUACUCCAAUAUCUCAAAUUUUACAUUAUUCAAAUUCUAUCAAAACUAAGAUCUACCAUAAAGUCAAUAUAUAUAUUCUCAAAAUAACUACAUAUAUGAAGAGGUGCAUGAUUUAUAAAAUACAAUUUGGCUCCAUCACAGUAAAUACGUUCUAACUUUCAAUCAAAAAGAAAAUGAGCAUGCCCUCAUGUUUUCUUCAUUUAUUAUUUCUUAUUUCCUUUUUUUUUUUUUCAUCCAUGUUUUUCAUUUAUUUUAGUUUUUAUAUAAAAUUUCACUUACUUAGAUUUCAUACUAUAUGUCUCAUCAUCCCUUUACAUUACUAGUGUUGAACUCUAGAUUCGAGAAAUUAACAGGAAAAGUCAAAUUAAUAAUGUAAUUAUAAAAACAUUACAGUGGCAUAAUUAUUUUUUUAAAAAAAAAGACAAUCUAUCAUGUUAAAAUAAAAUUAAGAAGAACUUGGAGAGAGAAUAGUUUAAGAAAAUGCAAAUUAUAAAAUGCCUUCCAUUAAAUAAAAAAAAAAGGUACUGAAUAACAUUUUAAUAAUGUAAUGUAACAACAAAAUAUUCAAGAAAUGAUGUACAAAAGAAAAUAAAAAAUUAUAAUAAAAUAAAUUACUUACGUUAUUUUAUUCCCAUUUUCAUUUUUCUUAAGAAAAUGUUAAAAAUAUCAAAUUAGGGUUUUCACUUUUUCCAUUUUUUAAACUUAAGUUUCCCAAAAAUAUACUAUUCAAACACGCUUUCGACCUUGAUUUCCAUUUUCAAAUGAAAAUAGAAAGGAAAAAGUAUGUUUAUAUACGAUCAUAUAAAAAUAAUCACAAAAUAGGAACCUUUAAAAAUAAUUAAAGUUUUAUACAUGCACGGAUCAAAGAUAGUAUGGUUAAAGGUAAUACAUAUAUUAUUAAAAGAUAAUACUUGUAUGGUUAGAGAUAUUACCCAAUUUUUUUUAAAAAAGAUAGAAUUCUGGCCUAGCAGCAUAUUCCAGUGUGUUGUCCUGUGUUGAAUGAAACUAACAGAAAAAACAUGAACCUUGAGAAAGGAAAUUACAAAGAGAACACAACAACCAAAGUCUUCUUCAAGUUGUGGCUAAUAGAGCCCCAACACUAAGGCAUACAUAGAGUACACCACUACUUAGCUAGCAUGGAGUAUGGACCUCAAGCUGAGUAGACAACUGAUGAGCCACAAAUGAAAAUAGAAAUAGAAGAUGCUCUGGACCCUGAUAACUCAACUUCAAAUAUUAAACAAGGUAACAUGUAGACUUUUACUUCCAGAUGUGGUCACUUCAAUAUUUGGACUCCUAAAUAUUUUCUUGCAAGGGGAAGAUAUACAGAAGCAAAGUUAGUUCUCAAGGAAAACAAGGAGAAAACCAAUGUAGUCAAGGCUUCUGCUAAUAAUGAUAACACAGCUCGAUGCUCAUAUUUGUCAUUCUGUGAGGCCCAAAGCAUAAACACAUGAUCGAUCACCUCCAUGCCUCCUGCUCCAUUUUGUCAGUUGCAUUUCAUGGUAAGACUGACAUGAAAAACUAGGGUAAAUCUGCCACAAAGUAGAAGUGAAUUGUCUUUUGAGUGCUAAAUUAUCACAACAUACCAAUCAAGUGAAAGGAAAUAUUGUUCAAAACAUAGUCGUAGCCAAAACUAGGUGUUGGGAUGGAUUUGGCAAUACAAGGAAUGGUAAAAUGUGGCAAUACAAGGAACAUAUGCACCAUUCUUGACAGGACCUUAAGAAUGAUGGUAUGCAGCCUCAUCAGCCAACUAAAAGAUCAGAAAUCCACAAUCAAGUUGGAUUCUUAUUAUUAGGAACUGAACCGAAGAAGGUGUGGUUAGAACUGUGAUUAAUAACCCUAUUCAAAUACACCUACUUGACAAAUUGAACAGAAAGGAUUGUAAGGUGAGCCAUGUGCAAGCAGGCUAGGUCGUAGACACCUAGGAUCAUCAUAUGCCCACAAUAGACCAUACAAAUGAACCAAAAUGUUGAUCAGGCUGCUGAAUUGAUAACUUAGGUAUGCAUAUGUAAAUGUUCCAACCUACCAAUAAAGAUUUCAUAACACCCAUGGCCAGUCUGAAAUUGAAGACAAAUUAAAAAGGAUUGAGAACUCAUAACUGAAAUUGGAAGAUUGAAAAUUGAAUACAGCAGUACCCCUAAGAUUCAUGAAGAGCCAUUUAUCCAUUGACUUGGCAAUGAAGAUCCAAAUAUUUGAAGCAGCAACCUUCUCUCUUUCUUCCCUGCCUUGAGCACACCAUGAUCCCUACCAACACCAAUCUUUAGUAUUUUCCGUCCUUCCUCUACAGUAGUUUUCCUCACAGCCGUCAAUAAACCUGUCCCUUGGGGACCAAUGGUGCCCUCCUCUUUCUCAUUUUCAGCUUUCUCUCCAUCCAUUACUAACAAAUUGGCACCAUUAUCUGCCAAUUGUUCAGACUGUUUUUUGUCUUCUUCAUCAAUUUCAACUCCAUUACCAAUGGUACCUUCAUAGCCAUCAGGACUGCUGCUUCCCCACCACUUAUUUGAGGCAGUUGCUAGACCACUCGUUGGGAAUCCAUAUUUAAAUUCAUCCAAAGAGGCUGCAAUUCCUUUGCUCAAACUUGCAUUAGGCAGAUUCUGGGGUCGCCCAUUUUGAAUGUUCCUGCUUCCUUGCUGUUGCAACAUAUGAGGUGGUAUGGCACCAUGUAAUUUGGACAUUUUCCAGAGAGAACUUUUAGUAUCGUUUUGGGGCUGGGAGCCACUGCAUGCACAAAAUUGGUAAAAAAGGAAAAAUAAAUAAAUAAGAAAAAUGGAACAAUAAAAAGUAACUGUAUGAAAAUCUAAAAAUUGGGGCAAAAUGCAUCUGAUUGCACCCAAUUAUUUUGUUAUUUCAUACCAGAAUUUACUAAACCAUUUUCAUCAGGUAUUUCUUCCUGGGGUGCAACUCAAAUGAGAGAACGAGAAGUAAAAAGGAAGACACAUACCCCUAGACUAUUUUAUAAGAACAGGAAAAUAGAGCAACAAUAGCAUAGAGAAAAAAAAAGUCAAGCAGCAGCAUCAUGAAAAAUUAGAAUCAAUCCAAGUAAAGUUGUGUCCUUGCAAAACCAUGGUAAAUUGUGAGAUUAGAACUUGGUAAAUUGAAAUUUGGGGAAAAGAUUACAUUUUUAAGGCCUAGUUGACUGGUUUUAGCUUUAGUUCAGGCAAAAAUUUAAAAUGGCGGGUUUUCCUGUCCACUUCUGGUGGAGAGAGAUUUUUAGAAUGGAGAACUAUUUGUGGCAGUGGAUGAGAAUAGUACCCCACAAAACUGCUGACAGAGAACAAGAAUUUUGGCAAAGUUGUGUGAUAGAGAAUUGGGGGAAAAAGAUUCAACUUGGUAAAUUGUGAUUUUAGAACUUGGCAAAUUGAAAUUUGAGGAAAAGAUUACAUUUCUAAGGCUAGUUGACUAGUUUUAGCUUUAGAAUGGAGAGUCAUUUUUCUGGAGCAUUUAUGGCAGUGGAUGAGAACAGUGCUCACAAAACCGCCUACAGAGAACAAGAAUUUUGGCGAUGUUCUGUGAUAGAUAAUUGGGGGGGAACUAAAGAUCAAGGUCAAAGAGGUUUCUUUCUGUCAUCACAGUGCGAAAUCACUCCUUGGAUGGAGAUAUUGAUGGAGAAAAGCUUUUUCCAUGGAUAGAGGAGUUUUUUUGGUGUGCAUGAGGUUAAAGAAAACCUGCACCUAAGCUUGGAGCAGUGUGUGGACUUGCAAACUAAAAUUUUGAAUUUCCGGUUGGAAAAUUCCAGUGGAGAGGGGUCAGUUGACUAAAGGAUACAGUGGGAUCCAAAUUUAAGGUGGAAUUUUAAUUGGAAGGGUGAUGCAGAGCCAGAGAGCUAAAAUGAUUGACAUGAGUUUUUUAAUGCUUCCUUUUGCAUAUAUGUAUAGAAACAACUUCCUUUUCAGGCCAUUCUGAAGUUAUGUCCAAUCAGUUAAGCCACCUUGAGGGAUUAAAUGAAGAGGGUGCAGGGUCCAGUUGUCCUUUAAAAUCAUUUAGACCUGAUGGCAAUGAGGUCAUCCAAUAAGGGAGGUGGGUCUUCUAACGAUAAGUUUGGGCUCAAGAUGGAGAUGAAUUAAGCUCCCAAACUGCAACUGGAGGUGACAGAUAUGUUGGCAAGCCUCAAAAGACUAUAUUUUCAGAGAGUGCCUACUAAAAAAGGAGGAAGAAGAAAAGACUAUAUUUUCAGAGAAGGCAAAGGCUUGCAACUUCAUCAACAGUAAAUUACAACCUACUGCUGUGAAGGGUACAGAGGCAUUAAGUUCCCAAAAAAUCUGAGAUGCAAAUGGAAAUCCUACAUCAGGCUGGUUUCCACCUCCAAAUGGUUAUUUUCCUUGAAGGGUGCCUCAUCAGCAUGGAAACAGGAGGCAAGAAGCAUCGCAUUCAAUGAGAGAGAACCACUU